AAUAUCCACUACUUCCGCAAUACAAAGCAAGUCUUCUUUCCAGAGCUCUUCUCUCUAGAUACUUUCUCUCUCUACGAUCCGGGUAAGGCGAGCGAGUGAGCGUUCGACGGUGCAAGGCUUGGCUUAGGCGCUUUGGCGAUCCAUUCCGAUCCAAGAGUGCCCGAGUCGCCGCGCGGUCACGAUCCCAAUCGAUCGGCCCGUGACACAUGCAUGUCGCACGAGCAUCCAAAAGCAUCUAUUCUGGGUUUAUGCAUGAGGACAUGAACUUGACAGUCAAUAAUGUCUGAGGACAUGAACUUGACAGUCAAUAAUGUCUUUAUGCACGCGUUGGAGAAUUCCGACAGAGAGUAAUUGUAGAUGACUGGGAAAUAUUCCAAGCAUGCACGUCAUACGACCAUUCAAAAGCAUCUAUUCUAGAUUUAUGCGAGAGGACAUGCACUUGACAGUCAAUAAUGUCUUUAUGCACGCGUUGGAGAAUUCCGACAGAGAGUAAUUGUAGAUGACUGGGAAAUAUUCCAAGCAUGCACGUCACACGACCAUUCAAAAGCAUCUAUUCUAGGUUUAUGCGAGAGGACAUGCACUUGACAGUCAAUAAUGUCUUUAUGCACGCGUUGGAGAAUUCCGACAGAGAGUAAUUGCAGAUGACUGGGAAAUAUUCCAAGCAUGCACGUCGUACGAGCAUCCAAAAGCAUCUAUUCUGGGUUUAUGCAUGAUGCCAUGAACUUGACAAUCAAUAAUGUCUUUAUGCACGCGUUGGAGAAUUCCGACAGAGAGUAAUUGCAGAUGACUGGGAAAUAUUCCAAGCAUGCACGUCGUACGAGCAUCCAAAAGCAUCUAUUCUGGGUUUAUGCAUGAUGCCAUGAACUUGACAAUCAAUAAUGUCUUUAUGCACGCGUUGGAGAAUUCCAACACGCACCCCAUUUGGUUUUUUCUCCGGUCAACCGGUUUCUGGUGAAACAAUGGUGGAGAUAGGUAAGCUACUAAUUAUCCAAACCCGGUCCUUGAUCAAUCAAAAAUCGGAUUAUAAUAAACCAUCUAGUGAUGUCAGUGUAAUAUAUAUCAACCAUUCUACUUCACUUUGAAACAUGUUUCGUAUAAACUCAUAAUGUUGAUAACAUAUGUGAAGGAUAAGAACUAGUCAUUAAGACAUACAAUUCAUUAUCGUGGCUUUUUUCACAAGUAAAGAUUCUGUUAACGAGGAUCUUUAAGACAUUUAAUGAAAAUGGGAUCGUGAUUCUCAAACCUUUAUUAAUUUUUUCGCAAUACUCAUAAUAAGUUUACUGGAAACUAAAAUUUGUUCCUUUAUUAAGUAUGGCUCAAUUAAUAUCUGAGGAUUUUUGCGACAAGAACUUUUAUGAAGUCAAAGGUGAAGGCACGCGUUGUUUGAAUGUGACUUAGUAGAGAGGGACUAUCCUUGAUUUACUUUCUAUUCAGUACUAUGGGGACCACGUUCUUUGGUGCUUACUGGUCACCCUGUCUACUAUUUGUUGGCGAGCCUUUUCCAAUUGAGGUAGACUUAUAUCAGGAGAAUGUACGGAAUUAGACUUCGCAUGAGAGAGUUUGAAGAGACACCCCUCCAGUUGGGACCAUAACCAUAGCAACGUGAGCUACCAAAACAUGCGAUAACGUAGAAAGUGACUUUGAAAAGAAGAUUAGCGUCACCGGAUUUGAUUACUAUGAUUACCGAAGAUAAUUUAAAUGGCGUUAAAAAAAAUUAAAAGGCGAAAAAAGUGGAGAAGUGAGUCAACAAGUUUAGGAAAAAUACGAUGGCCAAAUAAAGAGGAAAAAAAAUGGAAAGAACUCAAUUCAAUGUGGGAAAAUUUACCUUGAUCAUAAUCUUAAUAGAGGAUCAUUCUUGGAUCUGAAAUUGACCUGCUUAAGGUGGAUAUCUUCGUUGCAAAUGAAAAGGAAAGAGGCGAUAUGUCGUGGAAAUUUCAACACCAACACCAACCGCACAUCUUUCGAAAAGUCCGGUGGGAUCAUUAUCAUAAGAAAGUGACACUCGAGAGACUUAUAUGGAUAUAUGUUUUCAGUCCACCCUCAAAUUAAUUCCCAAAAUUGAAGUUGCCAAGCUCGGUUUCGUUGUAGUCUGACUGCGAGAGCACGAGGAAACUCUCUCAUGAUUGAGUUGGGUCAACGGUGACCUAGAACUACGGGCAUGUCUUUGUCCUUUGGUUGGUGGAAGACCAAGACGCAAUGCAUAAUCACAAGGACAUGUUAGCAUAGACCUGCCCAGAUUUUGAUAUAUCAAUCCAAAGAUAUUAAGCAAUUAAGACGCAUUUAAUUUAAAAAAAUUUAGAAAACAUUUUUCUAAAGAUAAUAGCCUAUAGCACUUAAAAAAUUAAUGAACUGGAAAAUGUUUUUAUUUUUUUAUGAAAAUAUUUAAAUACAAAUUGCUGUCGACAAUUAAAAUAUUUUUCAUUAACUAAUUAUUUGAAGCAGUAUCAGUGAUUAUUUUUUGAAAAAAUAUAUUGUAAAUUAUUCAUUUUUUGCUAAAUAAAUGCAACUUUUACACAAAAGUACGAAAUCAGGCUUCACACGAUAGAGCUUUGAAGAGAAACUUCUCUAUUUGGGACUACAACCAUAGCAAUGUGAGCUACCAAAACGAGCAACGACGUAGAAAGUGACAUCCAAAACCAAAAGAUAAUUAGUUUCACCCGAUUUGGUUACUAAAUUACUAUGAUGGACGAAGAUAAUCUAAAUGGAAGGCUAAAAAAGUGAAGAAGUGAGUCAAAGUUUAAGAAAACUACAAUGGCCAUUCAAGAGGAAAAUGGAGAAAACUCAAUUCAAAGUGGAAAAUUUAGCUUGGUUCAUAAGCGAAGGAGAGUAUCGUUCUUGAGUCUAAUAUUUACCUAUCUAACUUGGAUAACUUUGUCGCAAAGAGAAUAAAAAGGCAAUCUAUUGGAGGAAAUUCAAUCCAAACACCAACCGCAUCUCUUUCGAAAGGUUGGUGGGAUCUAUGUUAGAAAAAAAAUGACACUACAGAGAGUCAAAUGGAUAUAUGUUCUCAGUCCACUCUCAAAAUAGCUUCCAUGAUUGGUUUUCUCAAAGUGCGAGUUGAGUCAUGAACGCAAUGAAAAAUGCUUUUAUCGGUUUCUCUUCUUGCAAAACACACAGAAGAAUGAGAGAUCUGGGAAGAAAGUUACUAAAUUUAGGCAAUAUGCUGCUUCUUUACACUGGGUGUUUCAACCAGAUCACUUCACAAAAUAUAGAGAUUGCGCACGGAGAUUUUAUUUAAUUUUUAAACAUGAAAGAGGGAUCUUCCAUACAAUAAGUUCUUACAUGUUAAUUCGAACAACAUCGAUAGCGAUUUCAUUCCUAAUAGACAAUGAUAAACAAGAGUCCUCCCAAGAAUUCAACCCUCGAGGUACAAAGCGUGUCUAAUAACACUCAUACAGUUUGAUGUCCAUUUUGAGGCGAAAAUACUUGGCUCCUUGAAAAGUAUCGGUCUCGAAGGUUGUGAUGCCUCUCGCCAUGAAGAAAUCUCCGGUUCCACCCACGAUGGAAAGAUCUCUAGUUUGAGCCGCCAUUAUAUCUGCACCCAUUAUGUUCAAAGUUCCCUUAUGUUCUGUCGAAUUGAACACCAAAGUGUAGGCGAACCAUGCGUUGUAGGCACUCUUCAUGUCGUAGAAAUAGAAGCCUUGAGCUCUAGCGACCGCUGGGGAGAGAUAAUUUUUAUCUUUCGUCAUCGGGUCGUCGAAUACGAACAACUUCCCAAAGUUGAAGUUGCCAAGCCCCGUCUCGUUAGCGACCGCUGCAGACGUUGAGUUGGCCACGUCGUUGCCACCAAAGAGUAUGUCAUGGAAGUAGAGGACAAACCUCUUGCAUGGUUGGUCCCUGUUGAGGGUUUUCUUGGUAGCCGAUGAGAACUGGCUUGUGAAGAGGAGGAGGAGGAGGAGGACAAGGAAGCAUGAUUUGUGUGCGACCAAGUUUCUCAUGGUUAACUAUGCGUAGUUGCUAGCAAUUGGCUAAUGCUUGUGAAUAAUAGACGGGGUUGCACUUCUCCUUAUAUAGGAAUUCUUUGGACCCACAUUUCAUUGUAGGGACAUACUUUUUUCUUUUCUUUUUUUGUUUACUUCGUUAUACUUUUUUCUUGAAAUAAUUUGUCAAUUUCAGAUAUUAUAUAACCAUUAUCUGUCUCCUAAUGGAUCUAUUCUGACUGCCAAAGGACAUGGUAGCUCUCUCUUGAUUGGUGGGAUAUGGUAUAUUUGCUAUAGGAAGAGGCAUUCCGGGGAAUCUGGGUCAAUGUUGCUUAGCACUAGAAGCUUGUCUUUAUCCCUUUUCGGUGUUAGGCUAAGAGGCAAUGCAUGUUUUCAUGGACAUAUUGGCAUGACCCUGCCAAGAUUUUGGUAUAUCAACAGAAAGAUACCAAUCAAUUAGGCUGAGGCGAAGAUGAGUGAAGGCCAGGCUUUGUUGUGAUCCUUCUUAAAUGUUAUGGGGAGGAACAAUUUAGAGGUAAUGCCAAAAGAGAAUCAGUGAUCCUCAAUCAAUACGGAUUCUCCCAAAUCCUUACAUCGAGUAACUUUGAAAAUUUCUUUAAGAUUCAAUUAAUUCUAGGGAAUUCUAUCUUGUGAGGAAGUUGCCUCUAGCCUAUUGAAGCCGGCUAAGAGCCAAGUGAAGUAUAGGAGGUACCUCACUUUUACGCAAUCAAAGACGUAGGGUCGGGAAUUUGAUUACACUAAUAAUCUAAUUAGUGCCAUUUUAGACCCUAAACUUGAUUAUUUGUCAACUAAAAUGUCCAUGUAAUCUUUUUACCAAAUUAUGAAUUCUAAAAUUUUCAUUCACUAAGUGUCCAUGCAAUGUGUUUGGUUUUUAUUAUGAUCCUAAAAAUGUAACCUAACCAUUCAGCUUAAAAAAGCAAAUUGCACUGCAAAAGCAAUAUAAAAGAAUCACAACCAAUUCAUCGAAAUAGUAAUAAAAGAACGAUUAAAAGAUAGAGUGCACUAAAGUAAUCUAAUACGAGUAAGUAAAAAAAUUGUUAUUAAACCCUAGGAUAGCAGUUCUCAUGAGCUAAGUUCAAAUUGAAUCAAAUUUCUCAUCACUCUAUUAAAACUAAGCUCCAUCGAAGGUUAUCACUAAAAUGUCUAAACAAUAUUUACUAAUUAAAAUGAAUAUACUAGAAUCUAACAACCUAAUUUUGCCAUACUUCUAAGGUAUAUUUCUAUACUUUUUUUUUUAUAAAAAAAAAAAUGAAGACUUGGGCCGAGCCCUUCGGUCCAUUAUGAAUAUGAAUCACUUAUGCCUCAUUUGUCUCAGCUUAGAACACGAUGGGCUCCCUCAAAGUAAAACUAAAAGAAGCUCAAAACCAAUGAAGACCUAAUUUGUCGAAACUAAAUUCCGUUUGUUUUGCGAAAAUGAAAGAUUUGCAAAUUAUUUUCUAAAAAAAUGAUAGCUUAGAUCACUUGAAAUAAUUUGUUCCUAAAAUAUAUUUUCGUUAUAAAAAAUAGUAUGAUAAAAAGAUUUUUUGUUCAUUUAUUUUCAUAAACAGUACCAACGAUUACUUUUUAGAAAAAUAUUUUUGAACCUUUUACUCUUGUCACUAUCGGAACUAGAAGCAUAAAGGGCAUAUUGCCCUUUAUCUUUCUUCAAUUUCUCUUUCUCUACCACCAUCCUUGAAAUUAGGUCAUUAAUUGACAAAGUCUCAUCUUGGGAACUGUAAUUGAUCUCGAUAAUACCAAAAUUAAGAGGAAAAGUAUUUAAAACUUGAUGCACAAUGUAAGCGAUAGGAAUAAUAAUAUUAAGAGCCUGAAGUUUUAUUUGCAAAUCUAACAUCAUGAACUAAUAUAUUUCAACCUUCGUGAAUUCAUCACUUUUGAGUGUCCACCACAUUGUCAUGCAUUAAUUCAUGAACUAAUAUACAAUCACCUCAUAUGAGAGUAUGACCAUCCAUUAGAACAUGAGACAUCCCAUCAUUAUACAAGAUCAAUAUUUCUUAAACCCAAUUAAGUGUUCUACUUUGAUGGUCACAACUCUAUUGAAUCCUUGAAAUUCUCUUAUAUCGGGGAUAUAAAUUUUAUUACUCACAUAUACCAUAUUCAUGUGAUUUUAACUCUAGUGAUGAUAGAAAUUACCCACUAAAAUAACAUAUCAUGCUAGUUACAUUACUUCCCAAUAUCUAUGUGAUGGCAUACCUGUAAAUCAACACAUGUAUAUCCAAAAUCACAGAAAAAUACAAGAAAAUACAUGAAAAUAAACUAAGAAUACACAUAUUUAGGGUUACGUUUAUAUUUUCACAUCCAUAAAAUCAUCAAAAUUGUCAAAUAAACACACCACAAGGUAAGCAUCACCAUAUGAGCAUGUAAUUGCUGACCACGAGCCAAUUGGAGGCUCCACAAGCUUGCAUGCGUCACCUGAGUGCAUGGUGUGUGAAGCACACACACGAACGGCCUUAAAGCCUUGUCAUCCAGUGUGACCGAUCAUCGGUUUGACCAUAUGGUCCGACUAGUUGACCGUUUCGAUCAAUGGUAACUUGGUUCGAGUGGGUCAAUGGGUUGAGUCACCGGAUCGGGUUGAGUAUCGCGGGUGGUUAGGCUACUGAUGUCACAAUGAUGUUAGCCCUAGCGCGUGUAGUGCACGCACAAGUUGUGUUGGCGCGUGAGCACAUGUGAAGGCGUGUGGAGGGUCGUGGGGUGUGUGUUCGGCGCCCCAACAGUGUAUUUCCCUAAAUGGGGGCUUGUACAGCCUCCCCUGGCGGCGAACCACUCAUGGUUUUACUUGUCUCGUCGAGUUCUUUAUGUUUAUAUAAUAAAAGUUGAUUUUUGCUACACAAAAAAUCAUGAAAAAUGGCAAGAACUAUAUGUCCAUGUUCUAAUCUAUGGAGGCUCUGAUUUUAAAUGUUAAACGCUAAAAUGCACAAUUCCAUGGUCUCCAUAACUAGACUAAGAACACAUAUAAUCGAGUAGAAAUAUUAACAUACCUGUUUUAGAAUCCAUUGUUUUUUAUGCGAAAGCGGAAAAAUGAUGAUUCAAGCGCAAGUUCUUCUUUAUUGCCCUCUAUAUUACUGACUUAAUGAGACGGCCCCCUCACCCUUUAACGCUAGGAGAAUGCUCCUUUGUGGGGACUAUUGUGAUAAUUAGGAUUAUAAAAGAGAUUUGAAUACUAUUUAUAGAAUUUUCAACUAGGCCCUCUCAUUACGAGUUAGGCUCAGUUUGGCCCACAUUAGCCAACACCAUAUUAGACUAAUUAAGAAACCUUCCAUCUCGCUUUAGACCAAAUCUGUAAAACGGUAAAUUAUAAUAUCAAUUAAUAUAACCCACAUUAAGAAACUCUUACAAUUCUUUGUCUGGAUUCAGUUGUCUUGGUUGCUUUUUUUUUCUGUUUUUGCUAGAUCAGUUGUCUUGGUUGUCGUUUUUGUAGGAGUUGGAGUAAUCUUGAUACAAGACCAUCAUUUUAAUAGUCAUUCUUUGUCUUUUCUGUAUAGAUUUUUUGUGUGGAUUUAGCUGUCUUGAUUGUUGUUCACACAAGAGUUGGGAGUAAUCUCGAUGCAGGACUAUCAUUUUUGUAGUCAAUCUUUGUUUGUUAUGUACAGAUUCCUUGUGUGGAUUCAGCUGCACGUAAUACGGCACUAGUGAAGAGGCCAAUCAAUGAGGACAAUGGCUGCAAGAAUAAGGUAGACAACAUCUGGAGAGGCCAAGACUAAAGAGUUCAGUAAUGGCCUUGAGUGCCCAAUGAAGUGAAGCGAAAGAGAAGGGAUAGGGUUACAUUUGGUACUUAGGAUAAAAGUUGAGAUAAGAUAAAAUUAUCGUAUCCCAUAUUUAGUUUCUACUCAAGAUAAGAGAUGGUUAGAUUUAAGGAGAUAUAAUCUGAAUAAAAAUAUCCCAUAGAUGAGGUGGAAUAAAGAUGGAUAUGACUUCUUAUAUUCAUUACAUAAAAUUUAUUUUUCUAAAAUAACAAAUUUCUUAAAAAAAAUGAAAUAAUAAUUAAAUAUAAAAUAAUAUUUGCAUUUACUAUAAAAAAGAAAAUUCAAAAUAAAAUAAAAGAACAAUUUUCGUUUAUAUUUAUUUAUUCAUAUUAUUUAAUAAAUUUUUAUUAUGGAAUGAUGGAAAGGAAUAAAAAAGGAAAAUCAAUUAAAAAGUAGGUAAUAUAAAAAUAAAGUAGAAGAACCUCGAUUUUAAAUAAACCAAUUCUAAGUUGAAACAAAUUGUUCUAAUAUACUUUGUCUCCUUCUUCUUCAUAUUUUUGGUGUAUGUUGAGGCUCCACGGCUCCUUCAUAGUUCUUUGUUCAAAUCAAAACUCCAACAAAAUGAUGAGAAAGGUGAAGCUCCUCCUUUGUAGCUCUCUGAUUAAUGUCAAAGUCCACAAAUGUAGCUAAUUUUCCAUAACUUUGUGGUUCGUGUUAAAGUUUUAUGAAAAUGACGAGAGAAUUAAAGCACUAUAAAUUUUAGAAUCACGAAGGUAAAUGAUCAUGUUUUCUCUCUUUUUUACUAGAUUUGAUGUUCUUUGGCUCAUUUGCUAUAGUCUGUGUACAUUUCUUAUCAUUGUCAAACCCGUGGCUUUGGAAUGCUGCAAUGAGCUCUUUUUCUAUUUAAGAUGUUGGUCAUACAAUAAUUAUAAAUUAAUUGAUGGAGGUUAUCUCCAUUUGUGCAUUUGCGAUUUCUUUAGCAAUAAAUUUUCAGAAAUUCUUAUUAUCUCGUUUGUGUACUUUUAGGUUUAUUUACUUCGAUAUGCUGUUCACAUCGAACAAUAGAUAUGAUAUGAUUUGAAAAUAUCUAAUUUUAUUAUUGUGAUUUACCAAACAAAGGAUAUGAAACAGUAAAAUCCUAGAAUUUUAUAUUAGAAAUCUAGAUGAUCAAAUGCAACUUCAAGAUUUUCAUUUGUUGCGACUUUUCUCAAGGUGAACUAUCAAAAGGAAUAACGGAUUACUAAGCCAAAGACUUAGCACCAUUUGUCCUAAGUCCUUACCAAUUGCAACUUUGGGUUUUAUUUAAUCAAUGUAACAUGUAAUUCAAUCCAAUUGGAAUCCGCCACUAAUCUAUUAGGAUGCAUUUGGUCAUCCUAAUUUGGAUUGAGAAAAGAUAGGAUAAAAAGGAUUUGAAAUCCUUCAAAUAUCCUUGCAUUAUAAAUAUAUUCCGUUGUAUAUUUGGUGCAAUACAAGAUAGAAUUUGAGAUCUUUGAAAAUUUGCAACUUAAAAUAGGAUUAAACUUUUUUGAAAAUCCUUCUCGCUAGAAAAUCUUCGAAAUGUUCGACGGGCUCCUCCUGUACGUGAGACUCGUACCCUCCUGACCAUUGUCGUUAGCAAGCAACAGUCUCGAACUUGGCUUGUGAACGGUGGGAGGUACUUCCUCUGGUUCUUGUUAUCGGACCCCAUCGCCGAAGAAUGCGAUGGUGCCAUCUCUUAGGAGUUGAGGGAGGCGAUAGUGGAGAAGAGGUGCCUCGUGGGGUGGGCUCGCCGGAGGAGGUUUUGCACCACAGUGCCGUGCACAACUGGCUUGAGAGCGUAGCCGCCAGGAAGACGAAGGUCACUAGGAAGCCGAUGGUGUGGUGGCCGUUUUUUGCUUAUGAAUAGUUGGCUCGUGAGUCGCUUGAAAGGUCGUGGCAAGACGAUCGUCUUUAAACUCAUUUUCAACCUCACUCGUUGGAACUCAAUUUCCGGUCGACAGUGAUGAUCGGCGUGGUUGGAGGCGAUGGCGAUCGUGCAGUGGUCGGAAGUGAUGAUGAUCGGCUAGUUUGAUGAUGGUCCUUGCAUGGUGCCGGCGAAGCAACAUCCCAUGCGUCACUCCAUCACUCCGUUGGAGUAAAUGCAGGGAUUUUACGAUGUGAUGGAGUGACGACCAGCGAGGGGAUUUCACGGCAACGACCGGCAAGGAGGGGAGCGUUGGCCUUCUCAAGCGCCGGGAAACCUGCAAAGAAGGGAUCCAACUCGGUAGAGAGCUGGCCCACGGGGGUUCAAGGGCUGAUCGUUACUGCAGGGACUGGUGAGAAGCUCCGAAGUCGCUGAAAUCACUGGAAGACCUGCGAGGGGAAAACUCUAGCGCUGCUAAAGUGCAGGAGGUCGUCUGGUUUUUGAGCUGCGGGAGGCUCGGCCGGGAUUCACUGGUGCAGAGACUGCGGUCUGCUGAACAAACACCGGAGGACCUGUAAGAACACCGGGAGCACGAGAAGCCCGCUGGGAAUCGCUGCAAGAAGCCGCUGGGGUCAAGCAGAGCAGUUUGGGCGUCGGGGAGGUGACGGGCGCACUGUGGGGACUGAAGCAGGGGCUCGGUGGCCGGAGCUCGAUGUCAAUAAGGCGUGACAGCAGUAAGCGGCAACCGCUCCUGUGGGAGAGAGAAAUUCGUCUCCUUUCUGUUGUCUGCGUGCAAGCCUCCAAAAACUCCUCUGCUGUCGAUUUCCCCUGCUGUGUUCUGGACUUGUCUUUUGCUUCUGUUUUAGAUCUUGGAGAUACCUUGAUGGAGUAAAUGGUGGAAAGUGAUUUUGCAGAGCUAAUCCUCCUUCUCACGUUUCUUCUUUAAUUAAUAAUCUUUUGUCGUUUCUUCUUUAAUUAAUAAUCCAACAUCCCCUAGAACCGGACCGCAUUGGCCAAUCCGAUCCGGUCUGGGCCGGUUCCCGGUUUGGGCGGUCCUCUGUGCUUACCCCUAGAAUGUGCCCAUGGAAUGGUCAAUUUCAUGCCCUCAUGUUGACCCGAUUUUUGCUCAGUGAAGAUAUUCAUUAUUUUUGACAUAUAUGGUUAGCCCUUGUUCAAAUCAUAUGUACUAUGAAUACGUAUUUUUCCUUGCGAAUAUUAAGAUGUGCUUAAACCAGAAUCGUUAGUCGUAUAUACUAAGUGUAGUUCUAUUAUAUGGGUCAUCAUGGGGAUGCUAGAAUGGAUUUCCCAUCGAUUAGUCACUUAAUACUUCAACGUCAGUGAGUUAGUUGGAUUGCUGGCGGGCUUCCAUAAUUCCGCUUGUUUUGGCGGCCAUGGCAUGUCGAUGUGCAAAGUUGUUUGUGCAAAGUUGUUGAUUUAGAGUUCUGGAAUUUAUGAGCUUUUAGAUUUAUGCUUCUGAAGAGCACUUGUAAGGAUUGGACAAGAGUACGUAGCAAAAGUGGGGACAAAUUUCUAUACAUAAGGUUUUGAUGUAUAUUAGCCGAGAUCAAAUUAUUUGUCAAAUUGAGAAUAAAUUAGCUAUCUAGUGGAGGAUUGAAGUGAAAUUAAAUUAUAUGCACGUUUGAGGUUUAAAUUUCAUGGAGAAAUUUCAAGCCGUGACAACCUCCCUCGCUUAAGUCCCUUAGCUCCAGUUCAAUGUAAGUAUAUAGGCUUACUUAACUAAUGUUUUUAUUUACGGGUCAUGAUCAAUCUCUAAUUUUUUAAUUAAUGGAUACCUAAUGGGUUGCUAAAAUUUGGGUGUUGACAUCUUAUUGCUUUCUUGAUAUAGCCCUAAUGCCAUUUCAUUUGGGCUUAGAAAUGGCUACUCCUGAUUCCCAUUAAUUUUUAUCAUCUCAGCCUCGUGAGAAGCCUUCGACCAAAAAUCGAAAAGAACCUUGUGAGAAGCCCAAGACGGAAGGGCCCUGGACCUAGAGAGGAAAUAGUACACGCUCACACUAGAAACAAAACAAUUUUAGACACUUAAUAUAUUAUACACGUCUUUGAAAUGAUACGCUCACCAUAAAUAUGUGGAUCUCACGAUAGGUUACCCGAACAUGAGAUCCACCAAAAAUGAUGGCUUUGUUGGGGACCCCACCCUAGAAUUUUCACUGAAUGGUAGGUUGAAUUUGUUGUGAUCAUAGUAAUCAUCUCAUACAUUGUUCUUAUUAGAAGAUAUUUCAUUUCCGACUCAGUGAGGUCUCCAACAUGGCUUGAUUACUGCAUGGUUUCAAAUAAAAAUAAUGUACGAGAUCACAAAAGGAAAGUCAUAUGCACGCAUAACAAGGUGCUGAAUAGCUCGCAAAAGAAGAUGACAUAUAGGGAGAAAGAAGCCAAAAAAAAUGCUCCUCCUUAGAUAGUAGUUAAGGGUCAUUAACAGCUUUAGGAUUAUUUUGGACAAUUGUCCCACAAUUUUACUAGCUUUUAGUAGUGUUAACUGUUAAGUAGUGCUUCUAUUGACCAAAAUCAAUAUGAGGAGAGAGAGAGAGAGAGAGAGAGAGAGAGAGAGAGAGAGAGAGAGAGAGAGAGAGAGAGAGUAAUUGCAGAUGACUGCGAAAUAUCCCAAGCACGCACGUCGCACGAGCAUCCAAAAGCAUCUAUUCUGGGUUUAUGCAUGAGGACAUAAACUCGACGGUCAAUAAUGUCUAUGCACGUGUUGGAGAAUUCCAACACGCACCCCAUUUGGUUUUUUCUCCGGUCAACUGGUUUCUGGUGAAACAGUGGCGGAGUUAGGUUGCCAAGUCAGCCUGUUGCGGAGUUGAAAUUGAAGCCUGAGCGGGUUUGUCAAUAAGCAGUAGGUAAGCUUACAAGGGUGCGUUUGAUAACGUUUCAGUACAAAAAUUGUUCAAGAAAAUAGAAAUAAAAAAAAAAAUUAUUUCUGUUUUAGGGAAUAAUUUUUAAACAGAAGAACGUGUUUGGUAAAUUUGUUCAUAAAGUAGAAAAAGAACAUAAACAUGUUUGGUAAAUUUGUAUAAUUUUUUUGUUUCGUUUAAUUUUUUAAUUUUUUAAUUUAUUUUAUUUUAUUUUCCUUUUUUAUAUUUAUAUUUAUAUUUUAUUUUUCUUCCUUUUGGCCAGUCGCGCGGCCUUGGCCAUGGCCGACGACCUCGCUUUGGUUGGGCGAGCUCGAGCUCGCCCAGUCACCAACGAGGCUCAGCCUCGCCAGGAGUCGGCAACGCUCGGCCUUGCUGGGGGUGGGCGAUGCUCCGGAGAGAGAAAAAUUGUUUCUCGGAAGUAUUUCAGAUUCCAGAAACAAGUUUUUCUUGUUUCUUGUUUCUGUUCCAAAUUUGUUCCUCGGGAACAAAAAAUAGAUUUGGAAUAAAAAUGCAAACAAACGCGUUUCUAUUCUUUUAUUGUUCCUCGGAACAAAAAAAAAAAAACAGAAAUUGUGUUCAUGACCAAAAAAAAAGAACACAAACAAACAAGGCCUAAUUAUCCAAUGCCGGUCCUUGAUCAAUCAAAAAUCAGAUUACAAUAAGCCAUCUAGUGAUGUCGGUGUAAUAUAUAUCAGUCUUUCUACUUCACUUUGAAACAUGUUUCGUAUAAAGUCAUAAUGUUGAUAACAUAUGUGAUAGAUAAGAACCAAUCAUUAAGGCAUACAAUUCAUUAUCGUGACUUUUUUCAUAAGUAAAGAUUAUGUUAACGAGGAUCUUUAAGACACUUAAUCAAAAUAGGAUCGUGAUUCUCAUACCUCUAUUAAUUCUUUCGCAAUACUUAUACUUCGUUUAUUGGAAACUAAAAUUUGUUCCUUUCUUAAGCAUGGCUCAAUUAAUAGUUUGAGGAUUUUUGCGACAAGAACUUUUAUGAAGGCAAAGGUCAAGCCCCGCGUUGUUUGAAUGUGACUUAGUAGGGAGGGACCGUCCUGGAUAUACUUUCUAUUCAGUACUAUGGGAACCACGUUCUUUGGUGCUUACUGGCCGCCCUGUCUACUAUUUCUUGGCGAGCCUUUUCCAAUUGAGGUAGACUUAUAUCACGAGAAUGUACGAAAUUAGACUUCGCACGAGAGAGUUUGAAGAGACACCCCUCCAUUUGGGACCAUAACCUUAGCAACGUGAGCUACCAAAACAUGCGACAACGUAGAAAGUGACUUUGAAAAGAAGAUUAGCGCCACCGGAUGUGAUUACUAUGAUUACUGAAGAUAAUUUAAAUGGCGUUAAAAAAAAUUAAAACGUCAAAAAAGUGGAGGAAAGAGGCGAUGUAUCGUGGAAAUUUCAACACCAACUCCAACCGCACAUCUUUCGAAAAGUCCGGUGGGAUCAUUAUCAGAAGAAAGUGACACUCGAGAGACUUAUAUGGAUAUAUGUUUUCAUUCCACCCUCAAAUUAGAGGUGAUAAAUGGGUGAAUCGGGUCGAGUAAGGGUCAGGUCGAAAAUGGGUCGACCCAUAUUUGACCCAUUUAACCCGUUUUGACCCAUAUUGUUAUAAUGUAAAUCUAGUGACCCAUACCCGACCCUACCCAUAUUGCUAAAACCUAUUAAUAUUCUAGGAAAACCCACUUCUAUUAUAUGCUAAUUGGAUUAAAACUUCAAAUUAAAUUCAAAAUAGUAAAUAAAAUAAAAUAGAAAGUUAAAAAAAACCUAUAAAUUGAAAUAUUUAUAAAGAAUUAGACUAUGCACACACUUCUUUUAUUUAAAGUGAACAUACCAUUAAAUAACUAAAAACUGUAAAAUGAAAAAAAUUUAACUAAACCUAAAAAAGCUCACUUUUAUGAUUUUUUUUUAUAAAAAAAAGUAUUGUUAAAACAUUUUUAUGAAAUACAAAUUUUUAACAAUUUUUAUGCAAUAAAAAUUUAAUAAUUUUUUUUGUAAUUCUUUUUAAAAAAAUUUUAAAAAAAAUCGAAUUUUUAUUUUUUAAAUAUAAUUUUUAUUUUUAAAUAUAAUAAUUAUUUUUUAAUAAUUAUUUUUUCUUUUUUCUUUUUCUUCAGCCGGCCGCGACUAGCCACAGGCAAGAUCGAGCUCGCCAGCAUCGGGUGGGGCUCGAUCUCACCGAAUCGGUGAGGCCAAGGCGUCGCCCGCCGCCAGCGAGCUCGAGUCUUGCUAGUCGCCGGCAUCGGGUGAGGCUCAAUCUUGCCGAUCUGGCGAGGCCAAGCCCCCGCUCGACGCCGGCGAGCUUGAGCCUCGCUAGAUUCGGCGAGUCUCGGCCUCGCCGACGACAAUGAGUCUCGAGCCUCGUUGGAUCUGGUGAGGCUCAAGCUCGCCAGCAUCGGGCGAGGCUCAAGCUUGCAAGAUCGGCCUCGCCGGCUCACUAGUUGUCGGCGCCCUGCCGGCGAGGCUCGGUGCCGGCGAGCUCGAGCCUCGCUUGGCCUAUCGCCGGCCGGCGACCGGCCAUCACCCUGCCGGCGAUCGACUAAGGGAUGAAGAAAAAGGAAGAAAAAAGAAAAGAAAAAAAAUUGAAAUAUAAAAAAUAAUUAUAAUUUCGAUUUUUUAUGAAAAAACAUUUUAUAAAAUUAAAGAAGGCCAUGGCCCAUGGGUUGAAAGUGAGUCUAAAUGGGUUAUUACUAAUAACCCAUUUAGACCUAUUUAUUUUUAUGCUUUAUUUUCUCAAACCCAUUUUUGACCUGUAUUUAACUUUCACUUGACUCAUAUAUGAUCCAUUUAACUAAAAAUGGGUCAUAAUAUGAGUUUAUGACCCAUAUUGCCACCUCUACCUCAAAUUAAUUUCCAUGUAUUCAAUACGUGUUUUAACUAUGACUACACCUUUGACUGAAAAAAAAAAUAUGACCGCACCUUAAACCAUCGGCAUUUAUUUUCAUCAAUGUGCUUUCGUGUCUAUUUAUUUUUAUUUCUUGUCCACUUUCACAAAACUAUAGCAUUUUGAGUGAGGUUAUUGUGGCGUGCUGAGAGUUGUCGAUGGCUUGAAAGAAUUGAAUUUUCAAACAAUGCUCGUCCUUGAAAAGUUUAUUUGAUGUGCCCAUAUUCAUCAAGUUGGAGAUAAAUUGGAUGCUGCCAAAAAUUGGAACUUGCCCUAUCGGGAUCAGCAUUUACUAAGUAGGGGUGAGCGAUUUUCGGAUGGGUAGGUUCUAGAGAAUCUAUCCUGUCAGAAUCAGUUUUCAAUUUUUUAAAUUUGGAACCUACACUAGAGCUAGUCAGCAGGGUCGGUCUAGUCCAGUUCUAGGGUUUAUCCUAGACUGAUGAUCACCCCUAGUUUAAACUAGAUUACUCUUCACACACCACAGAGAUUGCGUGUGGAGAUUUUAUUUCGUCUUAAAAUGUAUCAUCCUUACAAUGGUUUUUUAGAAUCGGAAACAAAGUUUGUAAAUGUUAAUUUGGAGCAUUGUUUGCAUAAUGAUUUGAUUCCUAAUGGACAAUGAUGAAUAGAAGUCGCAAGAAUUUAAUUUUGAGGAACAAAGCUUUUCUAAUAUCAUUCGUACAGUUUGAUGUCCAUUUCGAGGCGAAAGUAUUUGUCUCCUUGAAGAGUAUCUGUCACAAAAAAUCGCGAUUCCUCUUGCCAUGAAGAAAUCUCCAGUUCUGUCCACAAUGGAAGGAUCCCCAGUUUGAGCUGCCUUUAUAUCUACACCCAUUAUGUUCAAAGCGCCCUUGUGAUCCGUUAAAUGGAACACUAAAAUGUAGGCGAACCAAGCGUUGUAGUCACUCUUUAUGUCCUAGAAAUAGAAGCGUUGAGAUUGAGUGCGCCAAAGAGAAGGCAAUUAUCCCUCGUUGUCAAGUCAUGGAACCUGAUCAGCUUCCCAAAAUUGAAGUUGCCAAGCUCGGUUUCAGUGUAGUCUGACUGCGAAAGCACAAGGAAACUCUCUCAUGAUUGAGUUGGGUCAACGGUGACCUAGAACUACGUGUUAGAGAAAUCUUUCUGGAAUAUUUUGAAGCUGACAAAACGUUUUUAUCAGUCUAGUCUGAAGCCUUGCAGACUCUUCUAUUAAAUUCUGAAGACCUCCGGACUACCAGACUCAAGACUCAAAGUCUAUUCUCAUUGACAGUUUCUAAUCCGUUGAAGAAAGGCUAUCCAGAGCUACUUCAUUAAGGAGUUUGGCCUUAUUGACUGGAGAAGAUCUCUUGGCUGGAUAAGACAUAACGGAUUCCUUUAUUCAAAUCAAGAUUGAUUAAAGAUCCGAUGAUUGACGAAGUAUUCCUGGAAGGUUCUACUUAUGGAAACCAAGAUCCUGAUUGUAUGGGCGAGCAUGAUUGAUGGGCUAUCGAUAUGUUCCUUUAAUAGCUCGAAUAAUCUUCUUAAUUGAUUCUGUCUAACGGGAGGAUUGGAAGAAUCCCUUUGGUAAGUGCCAACGGGUAUGAUGGCACAAAUGAGUAUAAAAGGAAGACGUUCCAGUUGUUCGAGGUGAGCACGAUAGAAGAAUUCCAAAGUCUGAAGCUCUUUGAUUCUUAGUCAAUUCAUUUACUGAGCGAAAUCUUGUACACAAAAGAGAGUCUAUACUUUGAGAGACCUUGAGGAAGUGUGAUAGAAUAUCUACACUGUGGAAUCAAGGGAAAGCAGUGCUGUAAUAUCUCUUUUGUUCAUAGUUAAAUUCAGCCAGUAGGCUGUCAGUGCAGAAGAGUGGACGUAGGCUUGGAAUAAGCCGAACCACUAUAAACCUCGUGUUCAAUUUUCUCUUCCUUACUCUCCGCUUUACUUUGAUCAUAGUUCGAUUUGUUAACUAAAGGAGAACUUCAUUUCUGUUGUUAGUCCAGUAUUGCUUUCAUAUCUCAAGAAAUUAUUUUUACACAUAUUCACCCCCCUCUAGGUGCUUAUACUAGCUCUAUCAAUUGGUAUCAGAGCUUGUGUACUCACUUUGUUUGAAGUGUUUUACUUCAGAGUUAAAGAUCCAUGACUAGUAUGCUAGCUCCAGGGCUGGUGGAAGGGCAGAGCAAUACCAGACCACCUUACUUUGAUGGAAAUGAUUACAACAUCUGGAAAAACAAGAUGAAAGCGUUUCUACGAUCAAAGGAUCCUCUAGAAUGGGACGUUGUAGAAAAAAGAAUCACUCCUAAAGCUGCAUCUGUCAUAGAGAGAGGAAAAGAAACUGUUGAGUCAAGUGAAAUGACUCAGGAAGAGAUAAUCAAGAGACAAGCUCUUGAUGCAAAAGCAAUUUAUUCUUUAUAUUGUGCUUUAUCACCUAUUGAAUAUAACAGAAUAUCUUCUUGUGAUACAGCAAAAGAAGUCUGGGAUAGAUUACAUAUCACCUAUGAAGGAACUGAUCGAGUGAAAGAGACCAGAAUCAACAUUCUCCUCGGUCAAUAUGAAGCCUUUAAAAUGAAAUCAGGAGAAUCUAUAACUGACAUGUUUAGUCGUUUUACAGAAAUUGUGAAUGGUAUUCAAAAUCAAGGUCAACCAAUUUCUGAUCCCAUGAAGGUAAACAAGUUACUACGUGGACUCUCCAAGGAUUGGAAUCACAUAAAGACGUCAAUAAGAGAGACACAAAGAAUCAUGCCACUAUCUGUCGAUGAGUUGGUUGGAACUCUUCAGUCUUAUGAAGUAGAAUGAAUCAAUGAAGACGAAGAUCCUAAAGGUAAGAAAUCCAUUGCAUUAAAAUCCAUUGAUGAUUCUGAUGUCACAGAUUCUGAAGACGAUAUGGAUGAUGAGGAGCUUGCUCUCAUGAUAAGAAGAUUCAGAAAGCUGAAUAGAAAAUGAAGAAGAUUCAAUCCAAAGAAAUAGAGCUUUCAAAAGCAACAGAUCAAGUCUGUUGAUGAUGAUGAAUCAAACAAAGAUGUAGUUUGCUUUGAAUGUAAGAAAAUGGGACACAUCAGACCCAACUGUCAUCUUCUGAAAAAGAAGAAAGGAAAAGCUGAAAAGUAUCGAAAGGCUCUUAAAGCAGAAACCUGGAGUGAUACAAAGUGUGAAGAAAGUGAUGAUGAUUAUGCCAAUAUAUGUCUGAUGGCACAAUCGGAUUCAGAUUCAAACUCCGAGACAGACUCAGAUUCAGACAGUGAAUUUGAGGUCACUAUCAAGAAAAAGGUAAAAUGGUAUCUGGAUAGUGAAUGCUCAAGACAUAUGACAGGAGACUCAAAUUGCUUCAUAAAGCUUGUACAAGUAAAUGAUAGAAAAGUCUCAUUUGGAGGAAACAGCAAAGGAAGAAUUGUGGGAUUUGGAACUGUAAAGAUUGGAAACCUUACAAUAAGUAAUGUUUCCCUAGUGGAAUGACUCAACUACAAUAUGCUUAGUAUCAGUCAGCUGUGUGACACUGGUUUCAAAAUAAAUUUUCAAGAGGGAAUAUGUUCAGGAACCAGUAAAGACUCUACUCAGUCAUUCAUGGGCCGAAGACAUGGAAAUAUCUACCUCUUGGAUGUGAAACCAAAUGAAUCGCAAUGUCUAAUCUCAAUUCAAGAUGAAGCAAGCUUAUGGCACAGAAAGCUUGGGCACAUCAAUAUGAAGCAGAUAGCCAAAAUCUCAACAAAGAAGCUUGUUCGUGGUUUACCCAAAUUAUCAUACCAAAAGACUAAUCUAUGUACACCAUGCGUAUUGGGAAAGCAGGUAAGAAAUUCCUUUAAACCAAUAAAUCAAGUUUCCAUUAAUCGUGUACUGCAGCUUCUGCAUAUGGACCUUUUUGGACCUAUCAGAACUCAGAGUAUUGGAGGUAAGAAAUAUUGCCUAGUAAUUGUGGAUGAUUACUCACGAUUUACUUGGGUAUAUUUCCUGGCAAGUAAGUCUGAAACUUUCUCUUACUUUGAAAAGUUUCACCCGAUUUGGUUACUUUUAGAGUUAGCAAAAUGGGUCACAAAACCCAUAUUAUGACCCAUUUUUAGUUAAAUGGGUCAUAUAUGGGUCAAGUGAAAGUUAAAUAUGAGUCGGAAAUGGGUCAAAUGAAAGUUAAAUAUGGGUCAGAAAUGAGUCUGAGAAAGUAAAACACAAAAAGAAAUGGGUCUAAAUGGGUUAUUAGGAAACCCACUUUAAAGUUUAAACUCAUGGCCUUUUUUAACUUUAUAAAAAUAUUUUUUUAUUAUAAAAAUUGAAAUUAUAAUUAUUUUUUAUAUUUCAAUUUUUUUUCUUUCUUUUUCUUCAUUCCUUAGUCGACGGCUGGUAGGGUGACGGCCAGCCGCUAGUCGACGACCGGCUAGGCAAGGCUCGAGCUCACCAGCAAGUCACCGAUGAUUGGCGAGGCUCGAGCCUUGUCAGAUUUGGCUGAACUCGAGCCUCGCCGGAUCUAACGAGACCGAGGCCUUGCCAGAUCGGUGAGAUCAAGCCUCGCCCAACGCUGGCGAGCUCAAGUCUUGCCAGAUCCGGCGAGGCUUGAGCUCACCGGCGUCAGGUGGGGCCUCAGCCUCACCAGAUCAGCGAGAUCGAGCCUCGCUUGAUGCCGGCGAGCUCGAGUCUCUCCAAAUCUGACGAGGCUCGGCCUCACCAGUCAUCGGCGAGGCCCAGCCUUGCCGGAUCUAGCGAGACUCGAGCUUGCCGGCAUUGGGCGAGGCCAAGCCUCGCCGAAUCUGGUGAGACUUGAGCUCGCCGGCAUCGAGUGAGGCCUCGGCCUUGGCGGAUCAGUGAGAUCAAGCCUCGCCCGAUGCUGGAGAGCUCGAUCUCGCUUGUAGCCGGUCGUCGGCCGUUGUCGUGGUCGGCGGCCGGUCAAAGAAGAAGAAAAAAGAAAAGAGAAAAAGAAAAAAUAAUUAUUAAAAAUUAAAAAUUCGAUUUUUUAAAAUAUUUUAAAAAGAAUUAUAAAAAUUCUCCAUUAAAUUUUUAUUGCAUAAAAAUUGUUAAAAAAAAUUGUAUUGCAUACAAAUGUUUUACCAAUACUUUUUUUUUAUAGCAAAAUCAUAAAAAUGAGCUUUUUUAGGUUUAGUUAAAAAAAUUACAUGUUACAGUUUUUAGUUAUUUAAUGGUAUGUUCACUUCAAAUAAGAGAAUCAUGUGCAUAGUCUAAUUUUUUAUUAUAAAUAUUUCAAUUUAUAGGUUUUUUAAAAUUUUUAAUUUAAUUUUAUUUACUAUUUUUAAUUUAAUUUGAAGUUUUAAUCUAAUUAGCAUAUAGUAGAAGUGGGUUUUCCUAGAAUAUUAAUAUGUUUUAGUAAUACAGGUCGGGUCGGGUAUUGGUCGAGUACAGGUCGGGUCGGGUAUGGGUUACUAGAUUUAUACUACAAGAAUAUGGGUCAAAACGGGUUAAAUUGGUCAAAAUAUGGGUCGACUCAUUUUCGACCUGACCCACCCAUUUGCCAUCCCUAGUUACUAUGAUGGACAAAGAUGAUCUAAAUGGAAGGCGAAAAAAGUGAAGAAGUGAGUCAAAGUUUAAGAAAACUACAAUGGCCAUUCAAGAGAAAAAUGGAGAAAAUUCAAAGCGGAAAAUUUAGCCUGGUUCAUAAGCGUAGGAGAGUAUCGUUCUUGAGUGUAAUAUUUACCUAUCUAACUUGGAUAACUUUGUCGCAAAGAGAAGAAAAAGGCAAUCUAUUGGAGGAAAUUCAAUCCAAACACCAACCGCAUCUCUUUCGAAAAGGUUGGGGGGAUCUAUGUUAGAAAAAAAAAUGACACUACAGAGAGUCACAUGGAUAUAUGUUCUCAGUCCACUCUCAAAAUAGCUUCCAUGAUUGGUUUUCUCAAAGUGCGAGUCGCAGUCAUGAACGCAAUGAAAAAUGCUUUAAUCGGUUUCUCUUCUUGCAAAACACACAGAAGAAUGAGAGAUCUGGGAAGAAAGUUACUAAAAUUAGGCAAUAUGCUUCUCCUUUUCACUAGGUGUUUCAACCAGAUCACUUCACAAAAUACAGAGAAUGCGCACGGAGAUUAUAUUUAAUUUUUAAACAAGAAAGACGGAUCUUCCAUACAAUAAGUUCUUAUAUGUAUUCGAACAAAAUCAGAUAGCGAUUUCAUUCCUAAUAGACAACGAUAAACAAAAGUCCUCGCAAGAAUUCAACCCUGGAGGUACAAAGCAUGUCUAAUAACACUCAUACAGUUUGAUGUCCAUUUUGACGCGAAAAUACUUGGCUCCUUGAAAAGUAUCGGUCAUGAAGGUUGCGAUUCCUCUCGCCAUGAAGAAAUCUCCGGUUCCGCCCACGAUGGAAAGAUCCCUAGUUUGAGCCGCCAUUAUAUCUGCACCCAUUAUGUUCAAAGUUCCCUUAAGUUUUGUCGAAUUGAACACCAAAGUGUAGGCGAACCAUGCGUUGUAGUCACUCUUCAUGUCGUAGAAAUAGAAGCCUUGAGCUCUAGCGACCGCUGGGGAGGGAUAAUUUUUAUCUUUCGUCAUCGGGUCGUCGAAUACGAACAACUUCCCAAACUUGAAGUUGCCAAGCCCCGUCUCGUUAGCGACCGCUGCAGACGUUGCGUUGGCCACGUCGUUGCCACCAAAGAGUAUGUCAUGGAAGUAGAGGACAAACCUCUUGCAUGGUUGGUCCCUGUUGAGGGUUUUCUUGGUAGCCGAUGAGAACUGGCUUGUGAAGAGGAGGAGGAGGAGGAGGAGGAGGACAAGGAAGCAUGAUUUGUGUGCGACCAAGUUUCUCAUGGUUAACUAUGCGUAGUUGCCAGCAAUUGGCUAAUGCUUGUGAAUAAUAGACGGGGUUGCACUUCUCCUUAUAUAGGAAUUCUUUGGACCCACAUUUCAUUGUAGGGACAUACUUUUUUCUUUUAUUUUUUUUUGUUUACUACGUUAUACUUUUUUCUUGAAAUUGUUAACACCUAAAUUUUGGUGAUUCAGUCAUUUAUUUAUUGCAUAAAAAAUUAUGGGUUAAUUUUAUCCCUGAAAAAAUAAUUAAUUGCAUAACAUAUAAUUUUAGAUGCAUUUAUUUAUUAUUAUUGCAUUUACAUUGGACCAGUAACGAAUGGGUUCGAAUUGGUGGUUUUGAGUUUUAAAUUAAUAGGCCGGAUUAAGCUCACGAAGCGAGCAAAUUGGCCCAAGCCUUUUUUUUAUAUAAUUAUUUUGUUAGAAAUAAAUAUUUGAUAUGAUAUUACGGUGGAUUUUUGAAAUUUGAGAAAAUCGUAUUGCAAUCUUAUCUUUAGUAAUAGGUGAUAAAAUUAGUGGAGAAUAUUCAAGAGAUGAGGAAAAUAAAAGGAUUUUUGUGAUCGGGAGGUUAUAGGCGAUCUUUGUGUAUAUUAAAAAAGAGAUGUAAUAUUCCAUGAAGAUCACAUUUUCUUUGCCUAUAAAAGGAGCCAUGUCUGGACCUGAGCAGGUCCUUAAACUGCUCCGUCUGGUCGGAAACAGCCCACGGACGUAAAAUGUGGGCAAUGUUAAUCGCGGGGGGACCCUAACCUGUGCAAGGAUCUCCCGGCUCAGAUUCCCGCGAUGCCUUUCUCCUAGCAUACUAGGCUGGGUACAGAAAAAUGAUGAACUGGUACGGUGAGAAAGGGGGGGCCCAAAAAGUCAAAAAAAGUAGCGACGGUGAAAGUACACAGUGCAGUGAGAGAGACGUGAGAAGAGAGUGAAGGAGAUGUGACAAGCUAGCAGAAAAAAAAAAAGAGAAAAAAAGAAAAAAGAGCUGUCAUUUGUCUUAUUCGUGCAUCCCUAUGGCACAGCUGUGUGUAUUGAAAAAGAAAUAAAAUAUUCCACGAAUAUCACAUUUUCUUUGCUUACAAAAGGAGCUACAUUUUCUUUGCCUAUAAAAGGAGCUGUGUACGGUGAGAAAGGGGGGCCCCAAAAAGUCAAAAAAAGCUACACAAUGUAGUGAGAGAGACGUGAGAAGAGAGUGAAGGAGACGUGACAAGCCAACAGAAAAAGAGAGGAAAAAAGAAAGGAGUUGUCGUUCGUCUUAAUAGUAAUGGAAUUACCAUUUACUAAAAAGUAACUAAAAAAAUAAAUAAUGUAUAUAAUUAGCAUCAUAUGAAUUCUGUGUAAGUUGAUGUAUAAUUAUACAUCUACAGAGUUAUAUACAUAAUCACAUAAUCACAUUUAGGUAGAAUACAUGACAUAUAGUUGUACAUUUUCUCACAUGACAACGGCUACGAGAAUAUAUUUCAAUUUUCGUGAAUUCAUCAUUUUUGGGUGUCCACUACAUUGUCAUGUAUUAAUUCAUGAACUAAUAUACAAUCACCUCAUUUGAGAGUAUAUGACCAUCCAUUAGAAUAUGAGACAUUCCAUCAUUAUAUGAGACCGAUAUUUCUCAAACCCAAUUAAGUGUUCCACUUUGACGGUCAUAACUCAAUUGAAUCUUUAAAAUUCUCUUAUAUCGGGGAUAUAAAUUUUAUUACUCACAUACACCAUAUUAAUUUGAUUUUAACUUUAGUGACGAUGAAAAUUACCCACUAAAAUCACAUAUCAUGCUAGUUACAUUACUUUAUUCAUCGAUACAAGUGAAAUUUUAUAUAUAUAUACGAAAUCUGGAUAAAUACCAAUAGCUAAAUAGAGAUGGAAACAAAUAACUCUCGCGGCCCAAAAUAAAAAAAUAAAUAAGAGUUUGGAACAUUAAAUAACUUGUAUCCAUAGAACAUUUGGCGUAACAUAGAUAAUAAAUAAAUAGGAGUUAAUAUCAUUCCAAUUGCCAUUACAAAAGUAAUUAGUAUUUUUGGCAUUAAAAGAUAUUUUAUAUAUAUAUAUAUUAUGUAUGAAUCACAUUCUACACAAUAUCUAUGUGAUGACAUACCUGUAAAUCAACACCUGUAUAUUCAAAAUCACAGAAAAAUACAAGAAAAUACACUAAAAAUAUACGUAUUUAGGGUUUUGUUUGUAUUUUCACAUCAAUAAAAUCAUCAAAAACACAUCAUGAGGUAAGCAUCACCAUAUGAGUAUGUAAUCAUUGACCACGAGCCAAUUGGAGGCUCCACACGCUCGCAUGCGUCACCUGAGUGCGUGGUGUGUGAAGCACACAUGCGGAUGGCCUCAAAGCCUUGUAAUCCAGUGUGACCGAUCACCGGUUCGACCAUACGGUCCGACUGGUUGACCGUUUCGAUCAAUGGUAACCUAGUUUGAGUGGGUCAAUGGGUUAGGUAACUGGAUCGGGUUUAGUCUUGCGGGUGGUCAGGCUAGUGACGUCAAAAUGAUGUUAGCCCUAGCGCAUGUAGUGCACGCACAAGUUGCGUUGGCGCGUGAGUGCACAUGAAGGUGCGUGGAGGGUCGUGGGGUGUGUGUUCGAUGCCCCAACAGCGCAUUGCCUUGCAUGGGGGCUUGUACAGCCUCCCUUGGCGGCGUUGUACCCAUGGUUUUGCUUGUCUCGUUGAGUUCUUUAUGUUUAUCUAAUAAAAGUCGAUUUUUGCUACACAAAAAAAUCAUGAAAAAGGGCAAGAACUAAAUGUCCAUGUUCUAAUCUAUGGAGGCUCUAAUUUUACAUAUUAAAUGCUAAAACGUGCAAUUUCAUGAUCUCCAUAACUAGAACAAUAACACAUAUAAUCGAGUAGAAAAAUUAACGUACCCGUUUUAGAAUCCAUUAUUUUUUUAUGCGAAAGCGGAAAAGUGAUGAUCCAUGCGCAAGUUCUUUUUUAUUGCCCUCUAUAUCACUGACUUAAUGAGAUGCCUCCCUUACCCUUUAACGCUAGGAGAAUGCUCCUUUGUGAGGACAAUUGUGAUAAUUAAGGUUAUAAAAGAGAUUUGAGUACUAUUUAUAAAAUUUUCAGCUAGGCCCUCUCGUUACGAGUCGGGCUCAAUUUGGCCAACAUUAGCCAACAUCAUAUUGGACUAAUUAAGAAACAUUCAAUCUCACUUUAGACCAAACCUGUAAAACGGUAAAUUAUAAUAUCAAUUAAUGUAGGUAACAUUAGGAAACUUUUACAAUUCUUUGUCUUUGUCUGGAUUCAGUUGUCUUGGUUGCUUUUUUUCUUUUUUUGCUAGAUCAGUUGUCUUGGUUGUCGCCCGUGUAGGAGUUGGAGUAAUCUCGAUGUAGGACCGUCAUUUUAAUAGUCAUUCUUUGUCUGUUUUGUACAGAUUUUUUUGUGUGGAUUUAGCUGUCUUGAUUGUUGUUCGCACAAGAGUUGGGAGUAAUCUCGAUGCAGGACUAUCAUUUUUGUAGUCGAUCUUUGUUUGUUUUGUACAGAUUCCUUGUGUGGAUUCAGCUGCACGUAACACGUCAUUAGUGAAGAGGCCAAUCAAUGGGGACGAAGACUGCAAGAAUAAGGUAGACAACAUCUCGAGAGGCCAGGACUAAAGAGUUCAGUAAUGGCCUUGAGUGCCCAAUGAAGUGAAGCGACAGAGAAGGGAUAAGGUUAUAUUUGGUAGUUAGGAUAAAAGUUGAGAUAAGAUAAAAUUAUGGUAUCCCAUACUUAGUUUUUACUCAAGAUAAGAUAUGGUUAGAUUUAAGGAGAUAUAAUCUGAAUAAAAGUAUCCCAUAGAGGAGGUGAAAUAAAGAUGGAUGUGACUUCUUAUGUUCAUUGCAUAAAAUUUAUUUUUCUAAAAUAAAAAAUUUCUUAAAAUAAAAAAAUAAAAAAGAAUAAUUAAAUAUAAAAUAAUAUUUGCAUUUAAUAUAAAAAGAAAAUUCAAAAUAAUAAAAAAUAAAAGGACAAUUUUCGUUUUUAUUUAUUUAUUCAUAUUAUUUAAUAAUUUUUUAUUAUGGAAUGAUGGAAAGGAAUAAAAAAGGAAAAUCAAUUUAAAAGUAGGUAAUAUAAAAAUAAAGUAGAAGAAUCUCGAUUUUAAAUAAACCAAUUCUAAGUUGAAGCAAAUUGUUCUAAUAUACUUUGUCUCCUUCUUCUUCAUAUUUUUGGUGCAUGUUGAGGCUCCACAGCUUCUUCAUAGUUCUUUGUUCACAUCAAAACUCCAACAAAAUGAUGAGAAAGGUGAAGCUCCUCCUUUGUAGCUCUCUGAUUAAUGUCAAAAGUCCACAAAUGCAGCUAAUUUUCCAUAACUUUGUGGUUCCUGUUAAAGUUUUACAAAAAUGAUGAGAGAAUUAAAGCACUAUAAAUUUUGGAAUCACGAAGGUAAAUGAUCAUGUUUUCUCUCUUUUUUACUAGAUUUGAUGUUCUUUGGCUCAUUUGCUAUAGUCUGUGUACAUUUCUUAUCAUUGUCAAACCCGUGGCUUUGGAAUGCUGCAAUGAGCUCUUUUUCUAUUUAAGAUGUUGGUCAUACAAUAAUUAUAAAUUAAUUGAUGGAGGUUAUCUCCAUUUGUGCAUUUGCGAUUUCUUUAGCAAUAAAUUUUCAGAAAUUCUUAUUAUCUCGUUUGUGUACUUUUAGGUUUAUUUACUUCGAUAUGCUGUUCACAUCGAACAAUAGAUAUGAUAUGAUUUGAAAAUAUCUAAUUUUAUUAUUGUGAUUUACCAAACAAAGGAUAUGAAACAGUAAAAUCCUAGAAUUUUAUAUUAGAAAUCUAGAUGAUCAAAUGCAACUUCAAGAUUUUCAUUUGUUGCGACUUUUCUCAAGGUGAACUAUCAAAAGGAAUAACGGAUUACUAAGCCAAAGACUUAGCACCAUUUGUCCUAAGUCCUUACCAAUUGCAACUUUGGGUUUUAUUUAAUCAAUGUAACAUGUAAUUCAAUCCAAUUGGAAUCCGCCACUAAUCUAUUAGGAUGCAUUUGGUCAUCCUAAUUUGGAUUGAGAAAAGAUAGGAUAAAAAGGAUUUGAAAUCCUUCAAAUAUCCUUGCAUUAUAAAUAUAUUCCGUUGUAUAUUUGGUGCAAUACAAGAUAGAAUUUGAGAUCUUUGAAAAUUUGCAACUUAAAAUAGGAUUAAACUUUUUUGAAAAUCCUUCUCGCUAGAAAAUCUUCGAAAUGUUCGACGGGCUCCUCCUGUACGUGAGACUCGUACCCUCCUGACCAUUGUCGUUAGCAAGCAACAGUCUCGAACUUGGCUUGUGAACGGUGGGAGGUACUUCCUCUGGUUCUUGUUAUCGGACCCCAUCGCCGAAGAAUGCGAUGGUGCCAUCUCUUAGGAGUUGAGGGAGGCGAUAGUGGAGAAGAGGUGCCUCGUGGGGUGGGCUCGCCGGAGGAGGUUUUGCACCACAGUGCCGUGCACAACUGGCUUGAGAGCGUAGCCGCCAGGAAGACGAAGGUCACUAGGAAGCCGAUGGUGUGGUGGCCGUUUUUUGCUUAUGAAUAGUUGGCUCGUGAGUCGCUUGAAAGGUCGUGGCAAGACGAUCGUCUUUAAACUCAUUUUCAACCUCACUCGUUGGAACUCAAUUGCCGGCCGACAGUGAUGAUCGGCGUGGUUGGAGGCGAUGGCGAUCGUGCAGUGGUCGGAAGUGAUGAUGAUCGGCUAGUUUGAUGAUGGUCCUUGCAUGGUGCCGGCGAAGCAACAUCCCAUGCGUCACUCCAUCACUCCGUUGGAGUAAAUGCAGGGAUUUUACGAUGUGAUGGAGUGACGACCAGCGAGGGGAUUUCACGGCAACGACCGGCAAGGAGGGGAGCGUGGGCCUUCUCAAGCGCCGGGAAACCUGCAAAGAAGGGAUCCAACUCGGUAGAGAGCUGGCCCACGGGGUUUCAAGGGCCGAUCGUUACUGCAGGGACGGGCGAGAAGCUCCAAAGUCGCUGAAAUCAUUGGAAGACACGCGAGGGGAAAACUCUAGCGCUGCUAAAGUGCAGGAGGCUCGGCCGGGAUUCACCGGUGCAGAGACUGCGGUCUGCUGAACAAACACCGGAGGACCUGUAAGAACACCGGGAGCACGAGAAGCCCGCUGGGAAUCGCUGCAAGAAGCCGCUGUGGUCAGGCAGAGCAGUUUGGGCGUCGGGGAGGUGACGGGCCCACGGUGGGGACUGAAGCAGGGGCUCGGUGGCCGGAGCUCGAUGUCGGCAGGGGGUGACAGCUGUAAGCGGCAACCACGCCUGUGUAAGAGAGAAAUUCGUCUUCCUUCUGUUGUCUGCGGGCAAGCCUCCAAAAAAUCCUCUACCGUCUAUUUCCCCUGCUGUGUUAUGAACUUGUCUUUUGCUUCUGUUUUAGAUCAUGGAGAUACCUUGAUGGAGUAAAUAGUGGAAAGUGAUUUUGCAGAGCAAAUCCUCCUCCUCACGUUUCUUCUUUAAUUAAUGAUCUUUUGUCUUUUCUUCGAUUCUUGCCCUCCUCAAUCCUCCAAUCGUUUACGCUGGACCCAAUUUUGCUGUGAAUGUGCUAAGGUGAUCGGUUCCGAUCCGCUUCCACCCAAAAACUAGUCCGGUUCCUACUUUGAGGAAUUGAGGACUGGUCUGUGAGGUCUUGGGACGGGACCGAACUGGACUGAUUAGUCCAUCGGUUCAUUCUAUAACUUUGAAAAGGAAAAUCCAAAAUUACUAUCUAGGAUAUUUCAUGACAUUGUUAAAUCAAAUUUUACUCAAUAGGACAUAUACAGAGUAAAGAUGAACAUAAAUUUAAAAUGAUGUCCCAUUAAUGCUUAGAUCGUAAAUCAAAAAAUCGAAAGGAAAACCAGAUUUUUAAGAUUUUUAAAAAUAUAUAUAUUUAUUCAAUAUAAUUUAAUUGAUCCAGUUCUCACCUUAGAAUCAGGAAUUAGAUUGGAAAUAACAAUAUGGAGGAAAAAACCACAUUGACAUCCUUUAGAACUGGAUUGCAUUGGCCAAUCCGAUCUAGUCCAGGUCGGUUCUUGAUUUGGGCGUGUCGUGACCUAUUUUUUUUUAGCACCCGAUCGGGGCAAGCGCCUGCGGAGGUUAAUGCUUCGACUAGGUUUAUUAAGCAUAGUCUGGACUUUCCCAAGUCCACCAAUUGAUUUUAAAAUGGAGUCGCCAUUAAUUGGUUUGAUUUUAAAAACAGAGUUGCCGUUAAUUGGUUUGGGGCGAGCCGAUCAAAAACUAAAUGAAGUAUUGAAAAAAAUAAUCACUUCUACAAAACUAAAGAAAUUAGGAUCGAAGAGUUAAUUACAUUAGUUAAUCACUAAUAUACUUACGAUACCUAAUCUUAUUUAAACUUAAGGCUUUUGGGAUUUUGAGGAAUUUUCCAUGCAUUUAUGAAGGAAAAACAUUUUUUGGGUCAUUUUCUCAUUUUUUGGAUUUUUGGUCUUUUUCUGAAAAUAUAAAUCAUUUUUGGCCUUUAAAUUUUUUUUUUUUUUGGUUUUUUAAGAAAAUAAGGGUUUUUUUAUUUUUUUAUUUUCUGGAAAAUAAUUUUUUUUAUUUUUAAAUUAAAAUAUUAUAAUAUAAUUAUAAUAUAUUAAAACGACCCGGGUCGGAUCCCCGGGUUGGGCCCGACCCGGGUCGUGACUUGACGCGACGUUUCCUCCCUUCUUCGCCUAAACGCGGCGCCGAUGGAGGGGCUGGGACGGCCGAUCGGCGUCGACGACGGCGGCGACACAGAGGACAGCAGAGGUAGGAGGAUGCGGCGCGGCGGCAACGCGGGGCUGCUUAGCCAAUCGGGACCUCGGCCGAGGCUAGGGUUUCAAAAAGAAAAAGGGGGAGUGCUCGGCUAAGGCGACUAGGGUUUUAAGGCAGGGGGAGCGACGGCGACGAUGCGACCACCAGCGAUGGCGGCGGCUGUUACCCGUCUGUAGCAACGGCACGACGAGGCGGUGAACGGUGGCGGUGACAGGGGGCUGCAGGUGUGGGUGACGACGACAGGGCAGCGACGGCGGAUCGAUCGCGGCAACAGCUUCGGGGGGGACGGCAGCGAGCCUUCGAGGCGAGAUCAGGUGCAGCGGCGUCGGGGCACGGCCCGGGGCGGCCUCCUUCUCCGGUCUGCUCACUCAGACCCGAACCUCUCCCUCUCCGGCCGACCUCCGUUCAGAUCUGGGCUCGCUCGCUCUUGGACCUCCCCCAAAGUCUCUCGGUGGGAAGCUUUCGGAGCUUGCGUGCCUUCGACCUUCGUCGGUGUCGUCCGUCUGUCCUUGGCCUUCCCUGACGCCCUAUUUAUAGGCGAGGGGAAGGCCGGUCGGCGGAGGUUCGGCCGCCGGUCGGCGUGGUGCGGCCGAACCGGUGUCCCGUCGCUGCUACUCUUCCCCACUUCGUCGUAGGCUGUCCUUGCGCGCGUCGUCGUCGCAACGCGUGGUCUGCAGAAGCGGAGGAGUGAGGAGGAAGGAAGAAGAAGAAGGGUGAAAAAGGAAGAAGAAGGAAGAAGGAAGGGGGAAAAGGGCCGCGUCGCGCGGGCCGAGCAAUGGGGGCCCGCACGAGAGAGAAGGAGGGGCUGGGCUCGUAGGCCCAGCCCCUUUGGCUGUUUCUUUUCUUCUUCUUUUUUUUCUUGUUUUUGUUUGUUUUUCUUGUUGUUUUUCCGUUUUUGUUGUUUUUGUUGUUAUUUGUUAUUUAUUAUCCGAAAAAAGGAAAAUGAAAAGAAAUUAAUGCCUAAUUAAUUAGAAACAUAAUCAAAAUUUAAGUGUUAAUAGGGCGGUCCUCUAUGCUCACCCCUAGAAUGUGCCCAUGGACUGGUCAAUUUCAUGCCCUCAUGUUGACCCAAUUUUUGCUCAGUGAAGAUAUUCAUUAUUUUUGACAUAUAUGGUUAGCCGUUGUUCAAAUCAUAUGUACUAUUAAUACGUAUUUUUCCUUGCGAAUAUUAAGAUGUGUUUGUAUCAGAAUUGUUAGUAAUAUAUACUAAGUGUAGUUCUAUUAUAUGGGUCAUCAUGGGGAUGCUAGAAUGGAUUUCCCAUUGAUUAGUCGCUUAAUACUUCAACAUCGGUGAGUUAGUUGGAUUGCUGGCGGGCUUCCAUAAUUCCGCUUGUUUUGGCAGCCAUGGCAUGUCAAUGUGCGAAGUUGUUUGUGCAAAGUUGUUGAUUUAGUAGUUGAAGAGUUCUGGAAUUUAUGAGCUUUUAGAUUUAUGCUUCUGAAGAGCACUUGUAAGGAUUGGACAAGAGUAUGUAGCAAAAGUGGGGACAAGUUUCUAUAAAUAAGGUUUUGAUGUAUAUUAGCCGAGAUCAAAUUAUUUGUCAAAUUGAGAAUAAAUUAGCUAUCUAGGGGAGGAUUGAAGUGAAAUUAAAUUAUAUGCACGUUUAAGGUUUAAAUUUCAUGGAGAAAUUUCAAGCCGUGACAACCUCCCUCGCUUAAGUCCCUUAGCUCCAGUUCAAUGUAAUUAUAUAGGCUUAAUUAACUAAUGUUUUUAUUUACAGGUCAUGAUCAAUCUCUAAUUUUUUUAAUUAAUGGAUACUUAAUGGGUUGCUAAAAUUUGGGUGUUAACAUCUUAUUGCUUUCUUGAUAACCCUAAUGCCAUUUCAUUUGGGCUUAAAAAUGGCGACUCCUGAUUCCCGUUAAUUUUUAUCAUCUCAGCCUCGUGAGAAGCCUUCGACCAAAAAUCAAAAAGAACCUUGUGAGAAGCCCAAGACGGAAGGGCCCUGGACCAGAGAGGAGAUAGUACACGCUCGCACUAGAAAUAAAGCAAUUUUAGACACUUAAUAUAUUGUACACGUCUUUGAAAUGAUAUGCUCGCCAUAAAUAUGUGGAUCUUAUGAUAGGUUACCCGAACAUGAGAUCCACCAAAAAUGACGGCUUUGUUGAGGACCCCGCCCUAGAAUUUUCACUGAAUGGUAGGUCGAAUUUGUUGUGACCAUGGUAGUCAUCUCAUACAUUGUUCUUAUUAGAAGAUAUUUCAUUUCCGUCUCAGUUAAUGAGGUCUCCAACAUGGCUUAACUAUGAACUAUUUACUACAUGAUUUCGAAUGAAAAUAUGUCCGAGAUCACAAAAGGAAAGUCUUAUGCACGCAUAACAAGGUGCUGAAUAGCUCGCAAAAGAACAUGACAUAUAGCGAGAAAGAAGCAAAAAAAUGCUCCCCCUUAGAUAGUAGUUAUAGGUCAUUAACAGCUUUCGGAUUUUUAUGGACAAUUGUCCUCACAAUUUUACUAGAUUUACUAGUGUUAAUUGUUAUAAGUAGUGCUUCUAUUGCACUUGUUAACAAGACCCGCAUAGGAAAAGAGCUAAAUGGACGGAUGACCAAAAUCAAUAUGGGGAGGGAGGGAGGGAUGACCAAAAUCAAUAGGUAGUUAUGGGUCAUUAACAGCUUUCGGAUUUUUUUGGACAAUUGUCCUCACAAUUUUACUAGAUUUACUAGUGUUAACUGUUAUAUAAGUAGUGCUUCUAUUGCACUUGUUAACAAGACCCGCAUAGGAAAAGAGCUAAAUGGACGGAUGACCAAAAUCAAUAUGGGGAGGGAGGGAGGGAGGGAGGGAUGACCAAAAUCAAUAGAGAGGGAGGGAGGGAGAGAGUUAGAGUCCGAUACGUGUCGGAGUGUGUCGGACACGUCAACACGGUCGGACAUGCGGUCAACGUGUGUCGGAUUUUCCGACAUGUGGUCAAUCUUUGCCCGAGGGAGCAAAGACGAGGCUGCGAGCGAUGGCAAGCCUGGGACGGUGACAGACGGCUAGAGAAAGAGCAUAGACUGAGGCGAGGGUUGCCACUGUGAUGCUGCGAUGGAUCCAACGAGACUACAGCUAUGAGGGAGAAAGGACUGAAGGUGAGAGGAAGAGGAGAGGAAGGCGGUCGUGCGGUGAGGAAGGAGAAGGAUCGAGAGGAGGAGAAGAGGAAGGGUUGUGCGGUGAGCGGCGAGGAAGGAGAAGAAUCGAGAGGAGGAGAAGAGGAAUGGUCGUGUGGCGAGCGGCAAGGAGGAGGAGGUAAAGGAGCUAGGGCUUUUGAUAAGAAACUCAAAAAUAAUUAAAAAAAAGGGGACUAUGAUGAGCCAUCAUGUAUUUUGGGGGGAGGGAAAGUGACAGGGACAACCUAUCUAUCAGUGGUGGGGAGGGAAAGAAAAAUAAAUUUGGGGGUGGGGGUGGGAGGAGGAAGAGAGUGGGGUGGAUCUUAGUGGGGAUUUACACGUGAGGACAUGAACUCGACGGUCAAUAAUGUCUUUAUGCACGUGUUGGAGAAUUCCAACACGCACCCCAUUUGGUUUUUUCUCCGGUCAACCGGUUUCUGGUGAGACAGUGGCGGAGUUAGGUUGCCAAGUCAGUCUGUUGCGGAGUUGAAAUUGAAGCCUGAGCGGGUUUGUCAAUAAGCGGUAGGUAAGCUACUAAUUAUCCAAUGCCGGUCCUUGAUCAAUCAAAAAUCAGAUUACAAUAAGCCAUCUAGUGAUGUCGGUGUAAUAUAUAUCAGUCUUUCUACUUCACUUUGAAACAUGUUUCGUAUAAAGCCAUAAUGUUGAUAACAUAUGUGACAGAUAAGAACCAAUCAUUAAGGCAUACAAUUCAUUAUUGUGACUUUUUUUUCAUAAGUAAAGAUUCUGUUAAUGAGGAUCUUUAAGACACUUAAUCAAAAUAGGAUCGUGAUUCUCAGACCUCUAUUAAUUUUUUCGCAAUACUUAUACUUCGUUUAUUGGAAAGUAAGAUUUGUUCCUUUAUUAAGUAUGGCUCAAUUAAUAUUUUGAGGAUUUUUGCGACAAGAACUUUUAUAAAGGCAAAGGUGAAGCCCCGCGUUGUUAGAGUGUGACUUAGUGGGGAGGGACCAUCCUUGAUAUACUUUCUAUUCAGUACUAUGGGGACCGCGUUCUUUGGUGCUUACUGGCCGCCCUGUCUACUAUUUCUUGGCGAGACUUUUCCAAUUGAGGUAGACUUAUAUCACGAGAAUGUACGAAAUUAGACUUCGCAUGAGAGAGUUUGAAGGGACACCUCUCCAUUUGGGACCAUAACCAUAGCAAUGUGGGCUACCAAAACAUGCGACAACGUAGAAAGUGACUUUGAAAAGAAGAUUAGCGUCAGCGGAUUUGAUUACUAUGAUUACCGAAGAUAAUUUAAAUGGAGUUAAAAAAAAAAUUAAAAGGUGAAAAAAGUGGAGAAGUGGGUCAACGAUGGCCAAAUAAAGAGGAAAAAAAAAUGGAAAGAACUCAAUUCAAAGUGGGAAAAUUUACCCUGAUCAUAAUCUUAAUAGAGGAUCAUUCAACGUGGAAAUCUUCGUUGCAAAAUGAAAAGGAAAGAGGCGAUGUUUCGUGGAAAUUUCAACACCAACACCAACCGCACAUCUUUUGAAAAGUCCAGUGGGAUCAUUAUCAGAAGAAAGUGACACUUGAGAAACUCAUAUGGAUAUGCAUUUUCAGUCCACCCUCAAAUUAAUUUCCAUGUAAUUAAUACGUGUUUUAACUAUAACCGCGCCUAUGACCAAAAAAAAAAAAAAACUAUGACCGCGCCUUAAACCAUCGGCAUUUAUUUUCAUCAAUGCGCUUUUGUGUCUUUUUAUUUUUAUUAUUUGUCCACUUUCACAAAACUGCAGCAUUUUGAGUGAGGUUAUUGUGGCGUGCUGAGAGUUGUCAAUGGCUUGAAAGAAUUGAAUUUUCAAACAAUGCUUGUCCUUGAAAAGUUUAUUUGAUGUGCCCAUAUUCAUCAAGUUGGAGAUAGAUUGGAUGCUGCCAAAAAUUCGAACUUGCCCUAUCAGGACUGGCAUUUACUAAGUAGGGGUGAGCAAUUUCUGGAUGGAUAGGUUCUAGAGAAGCUACCUCGUCAGGAUCAGUUUUCAAUUUUCGAAAUUAGGAACCUACACCAGAACUAGUCAGCAGGGUCAGUCUGGUCCAGUUCUAGCUUUACCCUAGACUGAUGAUCACCCCUAGUUUAAACUAGAUUACUCUUCACAAACCACAGAGAUUGCAUGUGGAGAUUUUAUUUAGUCUUAAAAUGUAUCAUCCUUACAAUGGUUUAUUAGAAUCGAAAACAAAGUUUGUAAAUGUUAAUUCGGAGCGUAGUUUGCAUAAUGAUUUCAUUCCUAAUUGACAAUGAUUAAUAGAAGUCGUAAGAAUUUAAUUUUGAGGAACAAAGCUUUUCUAAUAUCAUUCGUAUAGUUUGAUGUCCAUUUUGAGGCGAAAGUAUUUGUCUCCUAAAGUAUUUGUCUCCUUGAAGAGUAUCUGUCACAAAAAAUCGCGAUUCCUCUUGCCAUGAAGAAAUCUCCAGUUCUGUCCACAAUGGAAAGAUCCCCAGUUUGAGCUGCCUUUAUAUCUACACCCAUUAUGUUCAAAGGGCCCUUGUGAUCCGUUAAAUGGAACACUAAAAUGUAGGCGAACCAGGCGUUGUAGUCACUCUUUAUGUCCUAGAAAUAAAAGCGUUGAGAUUGAGUGACCGCCGAAGAGAGAAAGUAAUUAUCCCUCGUCGUCAAGUGUGGAACCUGAUCAGCUUCCCAAAAUUGAAGUUGCCAAGCUCGGUUUCAUUGUAGUCUGACUGUGAAAGCACAAGUAAACUCUCUCAUGAUUGAGUUGGGUCAACGGUGACCUAGAACUACGGGCUUGUCUUUGUCCUUUGGUUGGUGGAAGACCAAGACCCAAUGCAUAAUCACAAGGACAUGUUAGCAUGGCCCUGCCAAGAUUUUGAUAUAUCAAUCCAAAGAUAUUAAGCAAUUAAGAUGCGAAAGCAUUCCCAAAAUUGAAGUUGCCAACCUCGGUUUCAUUGUAGUCUGACUGCGAAAGCACGAGUAAACUCUCUCAUGAUUGAGUUGGGCCAACGGUGACCUAAAACUAUGGGCUUGUCUUUGUCCUUUGGUUGGUGGAAGACCAAGACCCAUUGCAUAAUCACAAGGACAUGUUAGCAUGGCCUUGCCAAGAUUUUGAUAUAUCAAUCCAAAGAUAUUAAGCAAUUAAGACGCGAAAGCAUUCCCAAAAUUGAAGUUGCCAAGCUCGGUUUCAUUGUAGUUUGACUGCGAAAGCACGAGGAAACUCUCUCAUGAUUGAGUUGGGUCAACGGUAACCUAGAACUACGGGCUUGUCUUUGUCCUUUGGUUGGUGGAAGACCAAGACCCAAUGCAUAAUCACAAGGACAUGUUAGCAUGGCCUUGCCAAGAUUUUGAUAUAUCAAUCCAAAGAUAUUAAGCAAUUAAGACGCGAAAGCAUUCCCAAAAUUGAAGUUUCCAAGCUCGGUUUCAUUGUAGUCUGACUGCGAAAGCACGAGGAAACUCUCUCAUGAUUGAGUUGGGUCAACGGUGACCUAGAACUACGGGCUUGUCUUUGUCCUUUGGUUGGUGGAAGACCAAGACCCAAUGCAUAAUCACAAGGACAUGUUAGCAUGGCCCUGCCAAGAUUUUGAUAUAUCAAUCCAAAGAUAUUAAGCAAUUAAGACGCAUUUAAUUUACAAAAAAAUUAGAAAAUAUUUUUCUAAAGAUAAUCGCCUAUAACGCAUAAAUAAUUAAUGAACUGAAAAAUGUUUUUAUUAUUCAUGAAAAUGUUUAGAUACAAAUUGCUGUCGGCAAUCAAAAUAUUUUUCAUUAAUUAAUUAUUUUAGGUAGUAUAAGUGAUUAUUUUUUGAAAAAACAUAUUGUAUAUUAUUCAUUUUUGGCUAAAUAAAUGCAACUUUGUAUCACAAAAAAGUACGAAAUCAGGCUUCACACAAUAGAGCUUUGAAGAGAAACUUCUCUAUUUGGGACUACAACCAUAGCAAUGUGAGCUACCAAAACGAGCAACAACGUAGAAAGUGACAUGCAAAAGAUAAUUAGUUUUAUCGGAUUUGGUUGCUAUGAUGGACGAAGAUAAUCUAAAUGGAAGGCGAAAAAAGUGAAGAAGUGAGUCAAAGUUCAAGAAAACUACAAUGGCCAUUCAAGAGGAAAAUGGAGAAAACUCAAUUCAAAGCGGAAAAUUUAGCCUGGUUCAUAAGCGUAGGAGAGUAUCGUUAUUGAGCCUAAUAUUUACCUAUCUGACUUGGAUAACUUUGUCAUAGAGAAGAAAGAGGCAAUCUAUUGGAGGCAAUUCAAUCCAAACACCAACCGCAUCUCUUUCGAAAAGGUUGGUGGGAUCUAUGUUAGAAAAAAAAAUGACACUAUAGAGAGUCAAAUGGAUGUACGUUCUCAGUCCACUCUCAAAAUAGCUUCCAUGAUUGGUUUUCUCAAAGUGCGAGUCGAGUCAUGAACGCAAUGAAAAAUGCUUUAAUCGGUUUCUCUUCUGGCAAAACACAUAAAAGAAUGAGAGAUCUGGGAAGAAAGUUACUAAAAUUAGGCAAUAUGCUGCUUCUUUUUACUAGGUGUUUCAACCAGAUCACUUCACAAAAUACAGAGAUUGCGCAUGGAGAUUUUAUUUAAUUAUUAAACAUGAAAGACGGAUCUUCCAUACAAUAAGUUCUUAUAUGUAUUCGAACAAAAUGAGAUAGCGGUUUUAUUCCUAAUAGACAAUGAUAAACAAAAGUCCUCGCUAGAAUUCAACCCUCGAGGUACAAAGCGUGUCUAAUAACACUCAUACAGUUUGAUGUCCAUUUUGAUGCGAAAAUACUUGGCUCCUUGAAAAAGAUCGGUCUCGAAGGUUGCGAUGCCUCUCGCCAUGAAGAAAUCUCCGGUUCCGCCCACGAUGGAAAGAUCCCUAGUUUGAGCCGCCAUUAUAUCUGCACCCAUUAUGUUCAAAGUUCCCUUAUGUUCUGUCGAAUUGAACACCAAAGAGUAGGCGAACCAUGCAUUGUAGUCAUUCUUCAUGUCGUAGAAAUAGAAGCCUUGAGCUCUAGCGACCGCUGGGGAGAGAUAAUUUUUAUCUUUCGUCAUCGGGUCGUCGAAUACGAACAACUUCCCAAACUUGAAGUUGCCAAGCCCCGUCUCGUUAGCGACCGCUGCCGACGUUGCGUUGGCCACGUCGUUGCCACCAAAGAGUAUGUCAUGGAAGUAGAGGACAAACCUCUUGCAUGGUUGGUCCCUGUUGAAGGUUUUCUUGGUAGCCGAUGAGAACUGGCUUGUGAAGAGGAGGAGGAGGAGGAGGAGGACAAGGAAGCAUGAUUUGUGUGCGACCAAGUUUCUCAUGGUUAACUAUGCGUAGUUGCUAGCAAUUGGCUAAUGCUUGUGAAUAAUAGACGGGGUUGCACUUCUCCUUAUAUAGGAAUUCUUUGGACCCACAUUUCAUUGUAGGGACAUACUUUUUUAUUUUCUUUUUCUUUGUUUAAUUCGUUAUACUUUUUUCUUGAAAUAAUUUGUCAAUUUAAGAUAUUAUAUAACCAUUAUCUGUCUCCUAAUGGAUCUAUUUUGACUGCCAAAGCACGUGGUAGCUCUCUCUUGGUUGGUGGGAUAUGGUAUAUUUGCUUUAGGAAGAGGCAUUUCCGGGAAUCUGCGUCAAUGGUAACUUAGCACUAGAAGCUUGUCUUUAUCCUUUGUCCGCGUUAGGCUAAGAGGCAAUGCAUUUUUUUUAUGGACAUAUUGGCAUGACCUACAAAGAUUUUGGUAUAUCAACAGAAAGAUACCAAGCAAUUAGACUAAGGCGAAGAUGAGUGAAGGCCAGGCUUUGUCGUGAUCCUUCUUAAAUGUUAUGGGGAGGGACAAUUUGGAGGUCAUGUCAAAAGAGAAUCAGUGAUCCUCAAUCGAUCAGGAAGAAAAACUUGGGCACCGAUUCCGAUUUUAACGGAGACAUCUCUGUUUCCUCCUCUAUCAAAAUGAGGACAGGGUAUUACUGUUACUGGGUCAAUGAGUACAAAGGAGCCACAAUAAGCGACUAGAUUGAUGAUAAGAGCUUGGCUUAUAUCCAAAUAUCCGCAUCAUGGCUAACGAGCGAGUCUUGAGCAUGAUUUCAUCGCUUCGAUACUCCUAGACGCGAAGCAGCUGAGAACAGAGCGAGUCCUAUGCUAUUUUGAAAUAGACACUAGUGGUGAUGAUCAACGACCACCAACCUCCGAGACGACUAGCAAGCAUCAAGGAAUAGUCAGUCUUUGAGCGUUUUCUUUCCAUGUGACGCCACGACGCCACAAGAAAGGAGUUCUCUGUGAGUGUUGUGUAGAGAAUGAAGGUCCUCGGGUCACCCUCAACGUAAAAACCUUGGCCAAAUAGAAGUGGCGUUUAGGACCUGAGCAUGUCCUUAAACUACUCCACCCUGAAUCGGGCAUUCCAGGGUGCCCAGUUAACCCCAUUUACAGGGGAUUUAACUGGGAUUACAGUAUAACGUCCUCAUUGGGCUUCCCCGCCAACCCCUUCACAGGAAGGGGGGCCCACCUCAGAUCCCCGUGAAGCCCUUCUCUUAGCAUACUAGGCUAGGUUCAAGGAAAUGAAGAGGCCUGGGUAGCCCCCCACGCGAGUGGACUACCCAAUAGAAGUGGCGUUCUUUUUCCUGUCUUGUCUGGUCGCGCCAAGUGGCGCAAUCUUAAGGAGGUGAGUUUAAGUAAGUCAAAUUUUUUGAUGAUCAAUUUGUGAGAUCUUUAAAUUUUAUUGUCCUUAAAUCAAAUGUCUAUCCUAAUUUUUGUGGAAGGUCAUACCGACAUUUUUUAUUUGACUAAAAAAGUCAAUAUUUCGCCAUUUUUUAAUGAAAAUUUGAAACUUAAAUGCCUAAUUUUAUAUGCAUAUGCUAGACCGACACCUAUAAACGAUUUCAUUUUUACGUCUUUGCAAUUUUGACCUAAAGUCAAAUUUUUAGGUUUGACAAAAUAGUCAGAUAAAAAAUUAAUACUUGUUUUUUAAGAAUAUAGUGUCCAAUUACUGAGGAGAUGUAAUGCUCUUAAUUUCUACAUACAGUUGAGGUUCUAAGGACACUUACUAAUUGAUUUUUUUUGUUUUUUUGUUAAGAAACGAGACUCGUUGCAAUGAGGGAUUUCGAUUCUUGAAUUUUCUAACUUAAACUGUCGAGAAAUGCCACCAUUGUGUGCCAAUAGCUUCAUUUAAGCAUGCAAGGAGUUGGUGCAGUUUUGUAAAUGAGCUUGGAUUGAUUGAACUAUGGUGAAUGUAUUAUAGCAAGCGGAAGCUGAAGAAAGAGAAGGGACGUGAUGAAGACCAAACGGAAAUGUUUCUUUGAUUUCAUUUCGUCUAGAUUUGUGGAUCUGAUCUAUAUGAUGACUAAUGUUUCAUGGAGAUGCUUGGCUAUUGGUAAUAAAUCUUGGGUUUAUAUAUAUUUAGAGGGAAUUUUACUUGGCACUUUUGUGCUUAUGGGAAUCUUACUAUGAUUCAGGAAAUGCAGGAAAUAAGGUGGGACGGUGAAAUCAAACCUAAAGAUGGCAAAAUUCAAUUGCGAUUCAUUUAUAUAAAAACUAUAGUAAAAGAGUUGUUGGGAGCACGCUUUAUUCGAGAAAAUCACCAAGGAGUUUAGACCAAUAAGUUAUUGACCAAAAUGAUAUAUUAACUACUAUAAAUAAUACUACAAUGCGGGAAUUCAUUUUAACAUUACUCACUCGUACAUCUCAACAAUCUAUAGAUUAUAACGAUCGAUGAUGGCUGGAUUGUCAUAUCAACAGUUUUCAGUAGAAAUUAAUCAAAAUAAUUAUAUUAAAAUUUCGUUCAAAAAUUAAUGACUAAUUUGAUAAAAUUGAAAAUUUUAGUAUUAAAAUAAUAUUUAUAUAAUAAAUUAAUGAUUGAUUUGGUAAUUUUUCCUGACCAUUUGACUAAUGAUUAAGAUGGUAUCGGUCCACCCAUCUCUGUAGACCAUAAUGCGUUAAUGGAAAAGAGAACCGUGCGAAGAAGAUAACCGGAUGAUGAUGGCCAGGGCGCGGAGAUAAGUCAAAUCAUGAUAAUGGCAAAUGUUUGUUGGGGUAGGUACCGGAUGCCCGCUGGUCCCGAGUUUCCAGGAAAGCACAUGGCCCGAUGACUCUUGACUACAUCCAAGUGCCGUGAUCGAUGCGAACGGCAUCUUUUCAAAAGCGAUCGUACGAUGGAUCCACGGCGCUGAAAACAACACAGCCACGAGGGUUUCUUCUGGGACGCCAGAGUUGAAAUUUGCUUUAUGAUGACUCGGUGCUUUGACAAGUUGGCGGGAUCCCGUUUCACGUUUAGCUCAUUCUCGCUGGCGUAAUCCGAGACGAAGAUUGGGUCGGUCGGUGAAAAGGCGAGUCGAAGUUGGAGACCAUGAUGGCGGCAUUAAAAAACGAGCGGAGCUUCAGAAAAGUGGGUCAUCUUUUCUCCUUUUGAGUAAUUAUGACCAACCUUCAAUGAUUAAGAACCUAAUAAUUUUUUGAUUUCUAAACCAUCAAGUUGACACAUGCUAAGACGCCGCCGUAGACCCACUACUUGCCUGCUUUCCUCUUAUUUCCCUUUUUCAUAUUCUCGCCCACGUGCAUCCACCAUAGCACUAUGUUUCUAGGGAAAUAAUUACCUAAAAAUUCAUAAAACUAUACCACUACUAUUUCAGCCCUAUUUUUUUUAAUUUAAUUAAUUUAAUCUUGAUUUUUUUGACGAUUUACUAAUUUACUCUUUCAUUUUUUCCAAAUUUUUCUAACAUGAACAUAAGGCAUAUCACGUGACAUCGUAAGAGCUAAUGUGGAAGAUCUUUUCAAUUUCUUUUUUAAUUUUCUGAGUUUUUUCUUCUUGUUUUUCCUUUCCUUUUCUUUCUUUUUUGUCCUUUUCAUCUCUAUUUCCCUUCACCAAUCGUUGGCUCUAGGUCAUAAAACGAGUGGUGAUUUUUGGAUGCUUGGGGAGAUUUGGAAUCAGAGUGAAAGUUAGGAAAUUUUUUUUUAAAAAAAAUUCAAGAUAUAAUUGAGAUUGGAUCUAAAAUAAGGUUUUUUUUUUUAAAAAAAAAAAAGAGAACUAGCCUACCAAAACAUAUGUUUUUUGUAUUGCACACAGGUGGAGAUGCUAAUUCUGAAUGGAGAUCAAGAUGUUGUGACAUGUAGUAUAUCAUAGCGUACAAGUUGUGUCUUGUCAUGUGUUGGGAAUGACUGAUCCCCGAAAAAACCGGAUUCGACACUAAAUCGAACCCCUAAACUCAAGCGGAAGACAAGCCCGGGAAUUCUAACACGUAUCACCGAUCCUAAAGCACACCACAGAUUUGAGCGUACUUUUUAGCCACAGAUUAAACACCGACGCCAAUGGAGGAAGAGAAAUCUUGGUCCUGUUGAUCCGGUGAAGCAAAAACGCCUUCGGGAGUCACUGUUUCCCUUUUGGAGGAAAACGACAGAGAGAGGGAGGGAGAGAAGCGUACGUCGUUUCUUUUAAUUAAACGGUCCCUUUUCUCUCUCUCUCUCCUCCCUUUUAUACCCCCUUCUUUCCACGGGCCCUAUUCCCGUGGGCCGGGCUUUCUGGGUCCAACUUGGGCGGACGGGCCUUAAGCCCAAAUCAAAUAAAGUCUUCAUCUCCCACUCGCACAUGGUGGGCCGAACAGGAUUCUCUUUACCUCUCUUUAACUUUCAUACCGGUGAAUAAUCCGUGCGACCAGCAUACUUUGAGAGCUCGUUGCUAUACAUCUGUUAGGAAUAUGUAGCAGCUCAUAAUUGGGCGUCACACUUUGAGUAGAUUUAGUAUGCAGUACCCUAGAUCGAUUGAUCACAUUUAUAUCUCCCUUGAUCUCUUUUAAACAUGAUAUAUAUAUUGUAUUCACAAUUAUAAUUAUCACAAAGACACUCAUAAUUGGUCGACCAGUGAAUACAAAACCACAAUGUGAUUCUCCGAAAUCGAUCUUCCUCUUUCCUUCAAACUCUCAAUUUCAGUCCAGCUUGCUUUUCUAGAAAUGCCCCAUUAGAUCGAAUCAUCUCAUGAUCAUUGGCAACACCCUAAGAUAGCAAACACUAAAUAGAAAUCUUGAGAAUAAGUAAGAGUCAUGAGGGGACUUAAAAAAUUGAGGAACUUUCUUCCUCAAGAGUCUCACACGUCAUAAAAGUUGAGAUCAAACUUUUUGCCACUCUUAUUGGUCGUCUCAUGCAUACGUAGUAUGAAAUACGUAUUACGGUAUUAACUCAUUUCCCAUGGAGCGUAUGUCUACACCUUUCAAUACCGUAUAGAUGAUAGUUCAGACAUACCCAAUGUCUAACUUGAGUUCACGUAUCUACUCUUUUUACAAAAUUCAUCAGAACUCACAUCUGGCAUCUUAGACAGAUAAAGUAAAAUAUGUGGGGUAUUUUACUUUCGGACAUAGUAAGUAUUAUGUCAUCAUCUUAACACUCAGUUAAGGUGACAUACGUAUUUAAAGCUUGAGCUCUCGAUUAUCACCUAGAUAAUAAGCUUAAAAACAGUCUCAUCUCUAUUUAUCACACAGUAAAUAGAGGCGAUUACCCGUGUGAGUGGGCUAAUCUUAUAUCUGUCCGACAUACUUCUCAACAAAAAAUAAUGCACUGAGCAUUAAGAUGCAUAAAGAUCAUACAAAAAUUCAUAGGCAUUAAUAAUGAAACAACACAAGUUCAUUGAUGUGAACAACUCAGGGAAAUUAUAAUAUCCAGUAUAUCAAACUCUACGCAAUCUUAGAGAUUUUACAUGACCACAAAAACACAUCUCUAGGUAUUGGCUUUGUCAUAGGAUCUGCUACCAUUCUAUGCGUAGAUAUGUACUGUAAGUUCACAUCCUUUCGUGCAACCAUAUCUUUCACAAAGUUAUACUUGGUAUCUAUAUGUUUGGUCUUGCCAUGAUACUUUGGAUCUUUGGUGUACGUUAUAGCUGCUUGGCUAUCACAGUUAACCAACAAUGGAUUUGCAGCUUUCUCAUUAACACCUAAAUGAUCCAAAAAUCUCUUAAGCCAAACUCCUUCUUGUACCGCUGCUGAUAAUGCCACGAACUUAGUUUUCAUCGUGGACAAAGCUAUACACUUUUGUUUCUUACUGCUCUAACACAUGGUGCCAUUAUUCGGUAAGAGAACAAACCUAGAGGUAGAUUUCCUUUCAUUUAAAUCUCCUCCCCAAUCAACAUCAGAAUAGCCUUAGAGUCGCAGAUCCUUUCCAUAAUAACUCAACGUAUAAUCAGCAGUCCACUUUAGAUACCUCAGUAUUCUCUUAACGGCUUUCCAACGUGCUUGACCUGGAUUGGAUUGGUAUCUACUCACCAUUCAAACUACAUAACAUAUGUCAGGUCUUGUACACAUCAUAGCAUACAUCAAGCUCUUUACAGCACUAGCAUAAGGAACAUGUUUCAUUUGUUCCUUCUCUUGUGAAGUCCUUGGACACAGUUUAUGGCUCAAUCCUUCACCUUUUGCAAUAGGAGUGUCAAUGGGUUUACAGUCUUGCAUACGAAAUCGUUCAAGAACCUUAUUUAUAUAGGUUUCUUGCGAAAGAGACAACGAUCUCUUCGAACGAUCUCUCGAAAUCUUAACUCCAAGAAUGUAUGCAGCCUCACUCAUAUCCUUCAUCUCAAAGUUGGAAGACAACCAACUCUUGACAGUCUUAACAAACUCCAUAUUGCUUCCAGCAAUUAGUAUAUCAUCAACAUAUAAUGAUAUGAUCACAAAUUGAUCCUUGGAUCUUUUGAUAUAUACACAAUGAUCCUCAUCAAUCAUUGUAAAAUCAUAUGCCAUUAUGGCAUUAUGAAAACGUAUAUACCAUUGUCUUGAUGACUGCUUACGACCAUAUAUCGACCUCAAAAGUCGACAUACUUUUUCUUCUUGACCUUUCACUAUGAAACUAGCAGGUUGUUCCAUAUAUAUUUAUUCCUCUAAUUCUCCAUUGAGGAAAGCAGUCUUUACAUCCAUUUGAUGUAACUCAAGAUCCAGACUAGCCACUAUUGCCAGAAUAAUGCGAAUCGAGGUAAAUCUCACUACAGGAGAAAACGUAUCUUCAUAAUCAAUUCCUUCCUGUUGAUUGUACCCCUUCGCCACAAGGCGAGCCUUAUGCCUUUCAAUCGAGCCAUCAGCUUUUUGCUUUAUUUUGAGAACCCACUUGUUCCCAAUAGCUCUGCGUCCUUUUGGAAGAUCAACCAGUUCCCAGACUUGGUUUGAUUUCAUUGACUCCAUUUCCUCUUCCAUUGCAUGAAUCCACUUUUCCUUACUAGGGCAAUUCAGAGCCUCAUUGAUAUUUCUUGGCUCAUCCUCAUCUUGUGGAGCAACCAUAAAAGUCUCCCCUUCAAUGUCAAAACGUCGACGAGGAAUACUUUGGCGACUUGUUCGCCGUAUGGGAGAUUGUACACUUUGCACAUCAUUUCCCAUUGUGCUCCCACUUGGAUGAAGUCCACUAAGGUCAUUAUCUUGAUCCAAGGUUUCAAAUAGGGAGUGAUCUUCCCCUAUUUCGCCCUUCUUAUGAAACUCAUCCUCUAAGAAUGUGACAUCUCGUGAUUCAAAUUCAGUUAUACUCCCAUUUUCCUGCUCACCUAUGAACACAUACCCAAUCGAGUGUUCGAAGUAUCUCAUUAAAAUACUCUACUUUUAUCUGGGACUCAAUUUCCCAAACUUGUGACAGGAUUUAUGAGUAUAGGUAGCAUAACCCAUGGCUUAAGUAAACUUAAGUCCGGUUUUCUAUCUGUCCAUAACUCAUAUGGAGUGGAACUAACUGAUUUAGAAGGCAUCCGGUUAAGUAUAUAGGCAGCAGUUAACAACGCAUCACUCCAAAAAGUGAUAUGUAAGUUAGCAUGCGCCAUCAUGGACCUAACCAUUUCCAAUAGGGUUCUGUUUCUUCUCUCUGCAACACCAUUUUGUUGAGGAGUAUAUGGAAUAGACAACUGUAUUUCUAUUCCUUUUCACCACAUAAUUUUCCGAACUUAUCAGAUAAAUAUUCUCGACCUCAAUCGGAUCUAAAUACUUUUAUUUUCUUGUCUAAUUGAUUCUCUACCAGGUUCAUAAACCUUUUGAAACAACUUAUUGCUUCAGAUUUAUGAGAAAUCAAAUAGACAUAUCCAAAUCGAGUGUAAUCAUCUAUAAAAGUGAUGAAAUAAACAGCCCCAUGCUUUCCUUUCACAUUCAUUGGACCACAGAUAUCAGUAUGGAUUAAAUGCAGAGGAAGUUCAGCUCUUUUUCCUUUUCCAAAUGGUUUCCUUGUCGUUUUCCCUUCUAGGCAAUGCUUACAUAUGGACAAAUCGACUUUUUCAAUAUUGCCCAACAAGCCCUCUUUGGCUAGUCUAUUCAUACGAUGUUGGCCAAUGUGACCAAGUCUAGCAUGCCACACAUUCACAUCAUUAUUAUAUGAAUUAGGAGACGUGAUAAGGGAAUAACUAACAUUUGCAUUGACAUACUCAAUAUCUAAUACAAUGAAACCAUCCAGAAAAUAACCACAACCAUAGUAGUUUAUAUCCAAAUACAAAUCUACACCUUUAUUAUGGAAGUUCAUAUUAAAACCUAGUCUAACCAACACUAAAACAGACACUAAAUCCCGACGAAUCUCCGGAACAUACAAUACAUCAUGAAGGAACAAAGUGCGUCCACCACGCAUAUUGAGUUGGCAUGUGCCAAUUCCUUUCACUUCAGCUCUGGAGUUGUUUCCCACAUAGAUCCACUUAGUUCCAGUUGGCACUCGUCGGAAUUCCACGAAGGAUCCUUUAUCCUUCGCUACAUGGUCCAUCGCUCCUGAAUCUACAGUCCACAAAGGAUUAGAAUCAGUUAAUAAUACAGAACUCGACACAUAAGUAAAGUUCUGAAAAGUACAAGGGGUGUUUACCUUCUUUGGCUCACGACAAUUGCGAGCAUAGUGACCCUUCUGGUCACAAUUGUAACACUUCACCCUUGACAUUUUCUUCACUUGAGGACGUUUUCCUCUCUUGUGUUGGUUAACUUUUGAUUUCUUGCAACAAGGACUUGAUCCUUUGCAAUCCCACAUAUUGAACGAAUCAAUACGCUUGCGCUUAGAGCUCAAAGCUCUUUUUGAGCUAGAACCAGCAUUGUAAAUGUCUACUUUUGACUCAAAUGCCGUUAGACGGUCCUCUAUUAGCUCAAGGUGGCGCACAGCAUCCUCAAGAUCUUCCAUAAUAUGGACAAGAGCUUCUAGUGCUUCUCGCUUUUCCAGCACAUAUUGGACUUUCAUGUGCCAAAUUUCAUAGUUGUCACCAUUGAGCUUUUCACCUUUGUUCAGCUCGGCAACUAUGCUCUUUGUGGCUGAAGUCAUUGAUCUGAACACAUCAGACAUAUGCACGAAUUAUUAAUGACUAUCAUUUAUGCAUCCCUUUUUACAUAGACCCAUCAUAUUAAUGAAUAAUUUCAAGUAAGGCUUCAGAAUCAAAAGGUCACUAUGUUUCAAAUCAUCCUCCAAAAAACCUAACUUAAAACUAUCAUCAAUAUAAUUAUCUUAUGCAAAAUCAAUUCUAUGAAGCUACAAAAACUUCUAAAACUACCCACAGCUAAUUACCCACAGCAACCAGCAGUAAUAGAAAGCAACACAUUAUAGGCAUCCAAUAAAACAAUAAUGCUUUCAAUUAACACCAAUAACAUAUAAGUUGCUACAGUAUCAACAAUCAGGUAGUAAACAUUACAUUAAAUUGUCCACAAAGCACACUUAAUAUAUAUCAGCCAAUACAACUAACACCAAGUCAGCACACGAACUGGGAAAGAUCAUCUUUUGUUAAAUUUCUUGAUCGUUUCCCUUAAAACAAUACAGUAAUAUUCAUUUACAAAAUCCAUCACAAUUUUCUUAUAGGAAGCAGCUCCGUUGACAUCCCAUAUGCGAUUCAACACAUCUUGCCAUUCAGGUGGAAGAGUGUUUAUGAAAAAUCGCACUAUCUCUGCCUGUGACAUUGGACGACCAUUCCAUAUGACCUGUUGAAUUUUCCCGUUGACUUCAAGGACAUGAUCAAUUAAGUCACCUCUCUCCCAUCGAUGAUCAGUCAGCUCAGCUAUCAACUUAGACAGCCUAUCCUUUUGCUCAUCGAUAAUUGCACGAAUAGGUGCGCGUAAUCUCAGAGGAGGCAUUGUUCCUGCAACAAAUGCAGAACAAACAAGGGAUCACAUUAUAAUCCACAUAGACUUAAUUGAAAAAGAAACACAUUCUUUUCCUUUUUUUUUUGGGGUCAACGGUCAACGGUCGUCGGUCAACGGUCAACGGUCGUCAACGGUCAAUGGCGGUCAACGGUCAAUGGUGGUCGACGGUCGUCGGUCGUCGGAACGGUCGGACCGGUCAGACCGGUCGGGCCGGCCGAGCCGGUCAGGCCGGUGGGCCUAGCUCGAGCGAACCGACGGCAUGUGCCGCGCACGUGCGUGGGCUGACGUCACGCAGACGUCAGCCGACACGUGCCGGGUCUCGCGCGGGUCGGGUCACCGGUUGGGUCGCCGACUGGUGACCGUCCGGCGAACCGUCGCCGUGCUGACGUCAUCGAUGACGUCACCCUAGCGAUUAUUGACCGUUGGGUGACGUCAUGCUGACGUCAGCACGCGUCGGUCCGCGGACCGGCGCGUGCCGGCUCGCCAGCCGGCGGUGCGCACGCGCCGGUUCACCGACCGGUGCGUGUGCCGCACGCGCUGGGCGACGCAACGCUUCCGAGCGCGUCGCGCCCACGCGCAGCGGCUUCUGGCCGCGCGUGUGGGCGCGUGCGGCGUCGCCCGGCGGCGUACGACGUACCUCCAGACUCGUCUCGACGUCACCUUUCUCCCAAUCUUUUUAGAAAACAGUUUCGACAUACGAAAACUCAGUAAAAAGGCCGAAGAACGCUCGGGUGUCGGGAUUUUUGUCCCGAUCCGUACGGCCGAAAGUUUCUUCGCGAAAACUCAAUCAAAGAACAUGAAAUUGAUCGGGAAAACGUGAACUAGGGCUGUGAUACCAAUGUUGGGAAUGACUGAUCCUCGAAAAAACUGGAUUCGACACUAAAUCGAACCCCUAAACUCAAGUGGAAGACAAGCCCGGGAAUUCUAACACGUAUCACCGAUCCUAAAGCACACCACAGAUUCGAGCGUACCUUUUAGCCACAGAUUAAACACUGACGUCAAUGGAGGAAGAGAAAUCUUGGUCCUGUUGAUCUGGUGAAGCAAAAACGCCUUCGGGAGUCACUGUUUCCCUUUUGGAGGAAAACGACAGAGAGAGGGAGGGAGAGAAGCGUACGUCAUUUCUUUUAAUUAAACGGUCCCUUUUCUCUCUCUCUCUCCUCCCUUUUAUACCCCCUUCUUUCCACGGGCCCUAUUCCCGUGGGCCGGGCUUUCUGGGCCCAACUUGGGCGGACGGGCCUUAAGCCCAAAUCAAAUAAAGUCUUCAUCAUGUUAAAAAUUGGUCACAAAAAAAAAAAUUACAAUUUUUAGUUCAUAACAUAAAUAUGAUGGAAAAAGUCCCUAGAGUCUUGUUAGUGCAUAUAUCGUUCAUACACAUUUUCUCUUUGUUUCUUGGCCCAAGGAAACCUUUGGACACCUCUGUUACCUUUGAUAAGAAAAAAAAAAUGAAGAGUGAUCAAUUUAUUGUUGUUACAUAGUGAGGAGUAUAAUAAGUCAAUUUAUAAUCUUUAACACCACUUUAUAGUUCCCUACCGCAUCUGAUUCGUAUGUAAGCAUUUCUAAUACAAUAUGAGUCUUCUUAGACACAAGGAAAAGAUUCAGUUUCAAAGGCUGCGCGUGACAAAAUUUCUGAAACAAAAAUUGAUUUCUAGCCAUAAAUCAAUUUCUUAAUUUCUAUUCCCCGGACAAGUUUCUGAGCAAAGAAACCCGUUUGAUAACGACUCAAAAUUUCUAUUUCUGAAACAGAAAUCCGUUUGAUAAUAGAACAAAAUUUCUAUUUCUAGGAAUAGAAAUUGAUUAGAUAACAACAUAAGAAAUCCUUAAAUACAAAAUAAUAGUCGAAAUAAUACUAAAACAACAUGGGAAAUCCUCAAAUACAAAAUAAUAGUUGAAAUAAUACUAAUACAUUACAAAAGUAUAUGGAAUUUCCGGCAUAUUAUUAUUCCUUGCCAUUUUAUUAGCAAUUGUUUUUCUAAGCAUAUUUAUUUGGCUUCCCUCCUCGGUCAAUGUAUCGUUUGCAAGCUCAUCCUGCGUAGGUUCAGACAAGUACUGUGAAAGCAUGAAUAUGGGUGCCAUCAAUGGCGCUUAUACAACCUUGUCAUUUUAUCAAAAACUAGUAUUAUAUAAGAUUAUCAACAAAAUAAAAUUAAUGGUGUAAAGGAAUAUAUGAGAAUUCUACCUUAAAGUAAUAUUUAUGGUUAGGAACCAAUCGGGAGAAGGUCGGUUUAUUUUGAUUCUUGAAUUGAUUCAGUCCGGUUGCUCAUUCCUAAUUUCUUUAUUGUUGCUCAAUGAACCUUUAAUGGCCCUUGCAUAGAGAAUCUCUCGCCUUUGAAUUAAAAUUCAAGAUUGUGUAACAAUCUAAUUAUUUUGAUUUUGCAAGAAUUUUGAAUCCGUAAAAAAAUAAGGUUAAAUUUCUAGGCACGUUUUUUAUUCAUCUAUUACGUAAGAACUUUUUCUUCAACUGGCCAUGCGCGUGCCUUUUCUAGGAGAAAAGAGCCCCAUUGCUUUUAAGUAAGCAUUUAAGAACUUUGGUCGUUUUUGAAAAUUGGGGACCCAUUCAAUUGCCUUUCAUCCUAAAGAGAAAGUUAUAAAAAAAAAAUUGAAAAAAAAUGCAAAAAAAAAAAAAAACACGAGCAAAAUAAGAAAAAGAAAAUUAGCAAUAAUUUGUGAAGUUGUGGUUAUGAGUGAAUUAAGUUAGCAAGAAAGCACAAGGUUCUUUUAUAUGAUUUGAUUUCAGUUUCUGAUUUCUAUUUCAAAAACUGAGAAGUUAAAAAUUUCAGUUUCUGAUUUCUUCAAUUUCUCUAUUUCUGAAAUAAAAAUCUGUUUCAGAAAUAAAGAAAUCAAAUUGCAUUACCAAACGGAUUUCUGUUCCAUUGGUUCUACAUUUGAUUCAUAACUCAAAAGUUGAUUGAGACAUGGCCUAGACUUCUAGGGAUGCUUGCCAUGAUUGAAUGAGAACAGAUAAGAGGCUCCUGGGGUGGCGCUACCAAUAUUGCCAUAUCCUCCUUUAAUCUUUUCGUUAUAUAAUAGUCUCGGCGACAUUAAAAUUAGCUUCCGGGUAGGACCUCAAGGAGGAUUAAUAUAUCAACUGGCCCAUUUGAACUUUCUAAAUUCUUCUUCUUAUUAUUAUUAUUAUUUUAUUUCCUCUCUAUGGAGCAGCUGUUGAAUUUUCGUCCGGAAAAUAAUGCUAAAUUGAGUAGAGUUGUUGGUUCUACCACGCGAUCCCCCCUUUCCCGUUUGACCAUACAAUUUUUAGUGGUGAGAUAGUAUCAAAACCAAAUCCAAAAUUGGUGGAAGUUGGUUACCAUGGUCCAUUCAAUCAUAAGCGCUGACUGAUUAUCAAUAAAUAUGCGAGAUAUCAUUGUUUGGCAAGUGACGAUGUUGGAAACGACGCUUUAUUGCAUCUAAGCACGACCACAAGGCGAAACGUGAAAUGAAGAAAGCGAAAUUAACUUGAAUUUGAAACGAUAUGAUAUGUACAACUCAUUUAGUCGGUUUAAUAAACACAUUUUUUUUCUCUGUCAUUAGUCAAAAUAAACUCGAUAAAGUGCAUAUCCGAAAUUGCUUGAAAGGAAGGGAUUGCUGCAAAUUAACUCAAUAAUCCAUACGUUUCAAGUAAUGUGCCUCAUUAUCCCCUAAAGAAAAACCAGUCGACGUAUUUCUUAGAUCGAUAAAAGUCAAUUCAAAGAGGAAAAUAUUUCCUGAACUAUAUAAUUCUUGGAGAAUCCUUCAUAUGUGUCUGAAUUUGACCUACCUAUAAUGGGCUUUUCCGUCGUAAAAACAAAAGGAAGAAAGGCAAUGUUUUGGAGGAUUGCCAACCCAGAUACCAAACACAUCUCUUUCGAAAAGUUUGGUGGGAUCUUUAUUGCAUAAAAAUGACACUAGAGAAGUCAAAUGGAUUUGUUUUCAGUACACUCACAAAUUUACUUCCAUAACUGGUUCUCACUAAAUGCCAGUCGCAGCAAUGAAAGUAAAGAAAAUACUUAGUUGGAUAAGAUAAUCAAUCUCUCUUCUUGCAGAACACACACAAGAAUGAGAGCUCUGCGAAGAAAGCUUCUCUAAUAACACUCAUAUAAUUUGAUGUCCAUUUUGAGGCGAAAAUACUUGGCUCCUUGAAAAGUGUCGGUCUCAAUGGUCGCGAUUCCUCUUGCCAUGAAGAAAUCUCCAGUGCCGCCCACAAUGGAAAAAUCCCUAGUUUGAGCUGCCAUUAUAUCUGCACCCAUGAUGUUCAAUGUGCCCUUUUGUUCAGUGGAGUUGAACACUAAAGUAUAGGCGAACCAUGAGUUGUAGUCACUCUUCAUGUCGUAGAAAUAGAAGCCCUGAGCUCGAGCGACUGCUGGGGAGUGAAGAUGGUUAUCUUUCGUCAUUGGGUCAUCAAACACAACCAGCUUCCCAAACUUGAAGUCGCCAAGCUUGGUCUCGUUAGCAAUAGUCGCAGAUGUCGCGUUGGCCACAUCGCUGCCAUCAAAGAGUAUGUCGUGGUAGUAGAGGACAAACCUCUUGCACGGGUGUUCCUUAUUGAGGGUUUUCCUGGUGGCCGAUGCGAAUUGGCUUGUGCAUAGGAGGAGGAGGACAAGGAAGGAUGAUGUGCGCGCAACAAUGUUUCUCAUGGUUAAAUAUGUGUAGUUGCUAGCUUUUGGCUAUUGCUCGUGACCCUAGAUGGAUCUUCGCUUCACCUUAUAUAGCAGUUUUUGGACCCCGCAGUCCACUGUACUGGGACGCCCCCUCUCUCUUUUCCCCCCUAAUUCGUUGUACCUGUUUCUUGAAGCAAAUUUUCAAUAUAAGAUAUUAUUGGACCACUAUUCGUCUUCUAAUGGAUAUAGUCUGACUGUGAAAGCACCAGACGACACUCUCUUGUGAUCGGUUGGGAUUGGUGUAUCUGCUUUGGUUGGUGUCAGGCUAAGAGGCAAUGCAUAAUCCCAUAAAAAUAUUGGCAUGCCCCUCCCAAGAUGUUGAUAUAUCUGUAAAGAGAUGCGCAGCAAUUAGCCUAAGUUGAAGAUUAAGAGAAGAAAUUAUCUUAAGUUUUAUUUUUUGGUAAAACAAGGCCAGUUUUCAAUUUCAUAGAAGUUGCAUUCCAGUGUUCAAGCGAUUAUCCUUGGAAGUCCGUUUAGCGAUCACGGCAUUGGAACUAUACAACUGAAAGAACAGCAAGGUCCAAAAUGAGUAGAUAAAACUCAUGAUGAAUUUGUCACCCAACAAAAUCCCUCAUUCCAGCGAGAGAGAUAAGUUCUCACUAGGCCUAGUGUGAGAUCAAAACAACUUAUGUCACAUCACAUGCCAUAGCACAAAUAAAAGUACUCUAAAAGUUCAGCACUGGGGACUAAUAGCAUUCGUAUAGCUUAAUAUCCAUCUUCAAACGAAAAUGAUCUAGUCCUUCGAAAGAAUUUAAUUCCGCUGCGACAAUUCCUCUUGUCAUGAAAAAGUUGCCGGUGCCGCCAACGACCAAUAAAAACCUAACCUUGUCUGCAAUAAUUUCUGCCCCCAUUAUGUUCAAUGUGCCCCGGUGCUCCGUAGAAUUGAACACCAAGAUAAACCCAAACCACGCAUUAUAGAAGGUCUUCAAGGCCCAGAUAUAGAACCCCUGACCUCGAGCGACCGGGGCUGAAUGGAACACGUGGCCCCUUGUCACCGCAUCAUUGAAUACGACCAUCUCCCCCGAGAAGAAGUUGCGAAGAAGAAGUCGCCAAAUCCGUCGAUCUUCUGUGCGACAGCUAGAGCUAUUAAACGGGCGGGUCAGGUCGAGUUUGAGUUAGAUCAUUAAUGGUCCGACCCAAAUUGACCCAUUAACCAAUUUAUGACCCAUUUAUACUUAAUGUAAAUUUUCCGACCCAUACUCGACCCGACCCAAACCAAACCCAUAUUCAACCCAACCCAUAUUAAUAAAAUAUUUUCAUAUUUAACCAGAUUUAGAAAAACCUAUUCCUAUGUUUUUUUUAUAAGAUUAUAUUACUAAAAUACUUCCAAGCUUAUUUCUUAUAUAUAUAUAUAUAUAUUGAAAAUGGUGUUGCUAAAAUAGUUUUAUACAAUACAAAUUUAAUGGAAAAUUUUUAUAAUUUUUUAAAUAAUUAUUUUUAAAAAUCAAAUUUUCAUUAUUUUUUAUUUUUUCAAAAUUAAUAUUUUUUUAUUAUUUUUAUUUUUAUUUUUAAAAUAUAAAUUUUAAUUAUCUUUUUUUCUUUUUUGUUCUUCUUCUUCGUCUUCUUUGGCCAGCUGCCGGCCACGAUGACAGCUAGCGGCUGGCCACAGGCGAGCCUUGAGCUCGCCCGACGCCAGUGAGCUCGAGUCUCGCCAGAUCGGUGAGGCUCGAGCCUCGUCGGACGUCGACAAGGCCUCCGCCUCACCAGAUCUAGUGAGCUUGAGCUUGCCCCUCGCUGGACGUCGACAAGGCCUUCGCCUCGCCAGAUCUAGCAAGCUCGAGGCUCGUUGGCAUCAGGCGAGCUUGAGCUCACCCCUCGCUAGAUCUAGCAAGGCUCUAGCCUCGCCCGACGUCAGUGAGUUCGGGUCUCGCCAGAUUGGCAGGGCUUGAGCCUCGCCGGGCGUUAACGAGGCGGCAGAUCCAGCGAGCUCGAGCUCGCUCGACGCCGGCGAGCUUGAGGCUCACUUAGCUGGUCACCGGCCAUCGCCAUGUCGGCCAUAAGAGGAAGAAGAAAGAAAAAAAAAAGGAAAGGAAAAAGAAAAGAAAUUUUAAAUAAAAAAAUAAUUAUAAUUUCAAUUUUUAUAUAAAUAUAUUUUUGUAAAGUUAGGGAAGAGAGAGAUUGUGAGGCUUUGGUUGAAAAUGGGUUCUUAAUUCAACCUAUUUAAGACCCACUUAAGACCCACCUAUCAAAGUCUUUAAUUGUAAUCACUGGGAUUCGCUCUAGUGGCCACUUCCAACAUGGAAGGGGGAGGUGAGGGGUUCAAAUCUCCACCUUCUCAAUGGGGGAUGGGGUGGGAACGCGUAAGUUUCAGGAGUGGGUUUCAACUCUCACGCCCUACAAGAGGCAGGGCAAAAGUCUGAGAGUGAGUGUAGAGUAGGAAUAGAGUAGGACUGACAAAAAAAAAAAGUUUUUAAUUGUUAAAUCCAUUUAACUAUUUUUUUGUCAAAAAUAGGUGACCCAUAUAUGACUAAUUUAUGAUUUAAAUGGGUCAUAUUUGGCUCUAAGACCCAUUUUAACACCUCUAGUGACAGCAGUUGACGUUGCAUUGGCCGCAUCGGUCCCUUUGAAGAGCUUGUCCUGCAAGAAGAGGACGAAUCUCUUGCAAGGUCUAUCCUCUUUCAAUAUCGUCUUGGAUUUGAAGGCGUGCUGGAGUGUGAAGGGGAGGACGAAAAUGAAGAAGAAAUUGUGCGAAAUGUUUCUCAUGGUUAAGAUGCUCGACCGAUUGCGCGUGCGAGUUCUUUGAGACAGCUUGUUGAAUUGCGUAUUAGUGAGGUCUCACUUUAGUUUAUAUAGGGAUUGCGUGCAAUGUCUUUGGAGGCAUUGUUGUACUUCGUCUUACAAGGUUUUUGUUAUUGUGUGUCUGGCAUACUUUGCAAAGUAAGAUUCAUCUACGGCCAUUUGGAAUAUAAGAUAUCUAUGUGUUUAAUACAUGUAGAAGAUACGAUGGUAUGGUGCAGGACGGAGCUAAUUUUGAUGUAAAUUCUUCAAAUUAAUAAUUGUACGGUUCCCACCUUUACCUACCCGGUUAUUUUUUACGCAAGAAGUCAAAAACAAAUUCCAAGUAUGUAAAAGGAGCAAAAUACUUGCAAAAUUGAACAAUCCAAAAAAAAAAUUGUUUAAAUGGUUGUAGGAUGAAAAAGAUUUCUGAUUCUAAUUCACAUUCAUUAUGUGAGAGGAUUAAGAGGUCAGGUGUUACUUAUCUUGGGAACUUUGAAUUAAAUGUUGUCAUCUUAGAUGUAAUAUCAUGUAUAGGAGAGUUCUAACUAAGAGGGUGAAAUUAUUUGAAAUUGCAUCUAUUUAAUUGAAGUCAUAAGCAGCCCAAUGCUGGGAGGCUUAUUACUUCAAAUAGUCCUCGUGCUCUUUGAAUAGAUCUCUUAAUUGUUGAGAGGGUUGCCUAAAAGCAGUAUAUAAGGUGUACCUAGAAAAACUUAAAACUAAACCAAAUAUAGAGAUGACAACUAGAGUUGCCAUAUUCAUUAUUAUUUAAUUUCAAGGUCAAAAUAGAUCUAUGAUAAGAUCAUUUAUUUACAACGGAAUGCUAAAAAAAGUCAACAUAUCUCAAUGAAUGCAAAAUAGGAUUUGUGGCUAUGCAAACCUUUGAGGGUAGUUCUCAAUUUGGACCAAGACAAACUAUUAAACGGGAUUUAUUGAGAUAAUUGAAUUCAUAAUAUGGUAAAGUAGCUCAUGGAUGGGUGACUACUCCUUUGAUGGGUGUCACAGUGGCUUUAUUUGUAGUGGCUCCUUUGAAUGUUUAGUCAUAAUAUCUAUUCAUUCAAUUAGUGAUGAUCUAUUAGUUCUUAUUCAAGUAAUCUUUGGACUUGGUUUGAUGCUUUAUUGAAUCAUCGUAGUCCUAAAAUGAAUCUGAGGUUUCAAUCGAUGCAUAGGGUCUUAACAAGGGAACUCCUAUCAAUUAUAAAGAAAAGAAGAGUAAAGUUGCCUUACAAUAAAAAAAAGAAAAAGAAAAUUACAAAUCUAGGGGGAAGAAUAAUGUAAAUAAAAGAUUCAAAAGGCCUCUAACGAUCAAAAUAAAGACAAUUGAGCUGACUUGCUAUACUAGUUCGUAUAUGUGGAGAAGUUAGAAAGGAUUGAUGGCAGAGUUUCAAACUUUGUACUCCAUAUGCCUUAAAACGAAAGCAAUAUUUUCGAUUUUUGUUUGAGUUGUACGAGAUGAAUUUCUCCUAUAUAGUUCUCAAAGGGGGCUACUAUUUGCUUAUCUAUCUUAAUAACCUUUAGGAUUGAUUAGAAGAAUGUCUCGAGAUUCAGAUGACAGCAAACGAGAUAAAAAAGUAAAUAUAUUUCUCAUCACGUCGACAUAUUUUAUUGUCCAAGAGAAAUUACGCCUACUUGUUUUUUAGUACAAGUAGCUACAGGAUUUGUCAUGACUUUUUACAACCGUCCAACUAUUACGGAGGAUUUUGAUUUUGUUCAAACAUAAGGACCAAAGCUAACUUUGGUUGGUUAAUUUGAUCGGUUCAUUGAUUGUCUACAAGUACGAUGGUCCUAAUGAUGAUCUUGCACACAUUUUGUGUAUAUCUCAAUGGUUGUAUAAAAAAUCUUGUGAAUUUACUUGGGUUACAAGUGUGAUUAUGGCUAUAUUCACAGCAUCCUUUGGCAUAACUUGUUAUUCGUUACGUUGCGACCAAAAUAGUUAUUGAGCAAGCAAAAUUAUAACAGUUGUACUGAAAACUAGUCCUUUGAUAGGAUCCCCUUAGUAGAGUUACUACUUAGAAGUGCUAGUGUGGGACAAACCACUUUGACUUGUUUUUAGAGUUUACACAGUUUUUCGUUACCUCUUCUUACUGCCAUGUUUAUGUCAAUGCAUUUCCUAAUAAUACGUAUGCAAGGUAUUUUUGGUCAUUUAUAGAGAACACAGAUCGUAGAUAUUUAUAAGUAACCAUUUCUCACUUGUAGAGUAAUAAUAGUAUUUUAUUGCCAAAACAUGGCUUAUUGAAAAAAAAUAAAACGUGUAUUUGGAUAUUUCCCUUCAACUAUACAAUCUAUUAUUCUUUAUUUGACAUGAAUAGUUGAUGUGGAUUCUCUAAGGAGAAAAUGCAUUGUGGGUUGGUGUAAGGCCGUGUGAAUAGAUAUAUGCUAUAAUGAGCCACACUGUACAUUUUGUUAUUAGGUUUUGCUAGAUUUCUCAUCUUGCCUCUCAACUUAAGGAUUUAUUUGUUUUAACUUCUGGUUUGCCUCCCAACUUUUUAGGGGCGUCGCCCUUGUCUCCAAUGUCUCAAUUUUGGCAAAAACUCCAUGAUGUUUUCAAUUGAAUCUUAGAGUAUCCCUAAUGUUGUCUCCGGCCAAAUUCUAGCCAGGUGUUCUCAUUUCAAUAGCUUAUGCUCACUCGAGAGGGGCAAAGUUGUCCGGUAAAAUAAGGACAAUUACAUCUUGCCUCCUAGAUUUUUCAUACAAUAAUUAAGGGCCCGAAGUGGGGUUAUUUUCUCAAAAAAUGGCAUAGAGUGGACUUUGUUUCAAAGAAUAGCCUGAAGUGGUUAAGUCAAUCUCAGAUAAGGACCUAGGCUAACCAGAGGGCCAUUUCCAACUACUUGAACAUGGGGAAUUUGGUCAAAAUCUGCUAUUGGAUAAGAAAUUGAAGAAAAUGCCCAAAUGACUUUUCUAUAAAUUUUCACGUUUUCUUCCUUCCUCUCCCCCGUUGCUUUUGCCUAAUCCUCAGCCGCGCCAGUCCCGGUCUUUGUCGCUUGCCUAAUCCUUGGCUGUGGCUCUCUCGGUCUUCACUGCUUGCCCCAUCCUUGUCACUCCUCAUGAGCUUCAGUCCGCCGUUUGCCGUUCAUUAUCGGCUCUUCUUUCCUAGAUUCAUCAUCCACAAUCUUUUAAGACGUCCAUGAGCUUCAAGUCCAUUGUCUCGUCUGCAAACUUCAUUCACUUUCAAUCGAGGUCAGCUAUCGUAGCUUGUUGUAACAACACGUUGCCUAGGUAUGGGCAUGUCAUGGAACAUCACACCAAUGGCACUGAGGCUCUCUUCGCAAACCCGAAUGUCUGUUCCAAUCACAGUCACAAACCCUGCUCCUCUCGCCGGAAUUAUCUUCUUGCAAUGUUGUUUUCUCUAGUGGAGUAAUUUUCCAGCUUUGUAAGAAUGCUAGUGGAUUAGCAAUCUGGGCUUUGCCAUGAUUGUAUUUGGGGGAAUCAUUAGGAAGUUGGCGAUUAGAACUGCUUGCGGGGGGGCGUUCACGCAUUUGAUCAAAAUUCAUCAUGAGGAUCAUCACAAGCUUAUAGCUUAUGGAAUCUAUCAAUUCAUCCGUCAUCCUGGAUAUUUGUUAAAGCUCAUAAAAACAACAAUCAAAACAGCAAAAAAAUUUGUUGUUUGAGAGAGAAAGAAGAUAAAAAAAAAAAAAAAAUACAGAGCAUAGCACUUCAUAUGUCUUGUGCGAAAGAAAAAACUGUCGAGUACAACAACUAAAUACAAAGUAGAAACUGCUCACGUACGUGCAAUACAUAACUACACACAAACGUGCUAUUAACUUCCUAGAAAAUAGCAAAAACACUAAAUGCAUAACUAAAUGAACUUGGCUGUUUUUUAAUAAAUAAAUAAAAAACAGAGGAAAACGGAGGAAAACAUGACAGAAAACAGCAGCUGAACAAUUCCAACAAACUCCUCCUUGGAUCAGUUGCUGCUGCAAAUUCCUAUUUUCUCUCUUAAUAGCUCAAAUCUUCCAGCCUGAAGUGGUUUUGUGAACAUAUCUGCAAGCUAAUCUUCAAAUCUACAAUAGACCAACUUAAUUUCGCCACUUUGUUGCACCUCAUGCAGAAAGAAAAAUUUGACUUUAAAAUGCAUGGUUUUGCCAUGAAAAACUGGAUUCUAAGAUAUUGCUAAAGCAGCCUGAUUAUCCACAUUAACUUCAAUGCAAUCACUAGAAUUCAACCACAAAUCCUUCAUUAUCUUUUUUAGCCAUAAAGCUUGAUUUGCAGUUGCAGUAGCUGCUAUAAACUCAGCCUCUACUGUGGACUAAGCUACAAUCUCUUGCUUUUUGGAACACCAGGAGAAACAAGCAGAACCAAGACUGAAACAAUACCCAAACGUACUUUUCAUGUCAUCCACUAAACCAGCUCAGUCACUAUCAGAAAAUCCUUGUAAAUUAAACUUCUGACAUUUCUUAAACUUAACACCAAAGAACAAUGUUCCUUUGAGAUAUCUCAAGACCCUUUUUGUUGCAAUCAAAUGUAACUGACUAGGACUACUCAUAAACCUGGAUAAAACACUCACAGCAAAUAGAAUAUCUGGUUUGGUUGCUAUAAGAUACAUGAGACACCCAAUCAGACUUCUAUACAUAGAAGCAUCUACUGCAUCUGUUCCAUCAUUCUUCUGCAGCUUCUCUUUAGCAGCCAUAGGAGUGCUUACACUUCGACAAUCUUCCAUCUGAAACUUCUUUAGAAUUUCCUUCAUGUAUUUUUUCUGACAGAUGAAGAUCUCAUAUGAAGCCUGUUUGACUUCCAGACCCAAAAAAUAAGCCAUCUUUCCCAAGUCUGACAUCUAAAAAAAUGCAAAUAGAUCUUGCUUCACCUUCUCUAUCAAUUCCAUACCAUUCCCCGUCACUAAUAGAUCAUCUACAUAAAGUGACAGAAUUACAACACUGUGAUUCACCUUCUCGACUUAAAGAGUGAACUCACUUAAGCUUUUUACAAAGCCAAAAUCCUGCAAAUAUCGAUCUAUCUUCCCAUACUAAGCUCUUGGAGCCUGCUUCAGUCCAUAUAGAGCUUUCCUCAACCUGUAUACACUCUCUUCUUGCCCUUUGAUACUGAAGCCUUCAGGUUGUUCCAGGUUGUUUAACAAAAAUCUCCUCCUCAAGCUCUCCAUUUAGAAAUGCAGACUUGACAUCUAACUGAAAUAUAAGCCACUCCUACUCUGCUGCAAUAGCUAACAGUAACCUUAUUGUAUCAAGUCGUGCAACAGGAGCAAAUGUUUCAGAAUAGUCUACUCCCCAUAUUUGUGCAUAGCCUUUCACCACCAGUCUAGCUUUGUAUUUAUUGAUAGAACCAUUAGGAUUAAGUUUUGUUCUAAACACCCACUUAACCCUAAUCACAUUCUUAUCAGAUGGUCUAUCAACAAGCUCCCAUGUGUGAUUUUUCUGGAUCAUUGCAAUCUCCUCCUGCAUUGCUGCAAUCCACCUAUGAUCCUCCUUAGCUUCCACAAAGUUAGAUGGUUCGAGCAUUGCCACAUUGCUUCUUUCAUAAAUUUCAGCAAGUGACCUUGUGCCUCUCACUGGUAAAUCAUCCACACUGUCUUCUAAUCCAUCUAUAACUUCAUCAACCUCUACAUCUGUUGCAGGUUAUUUUUCGAACUGCUGCUGUUCUGCACUCUUUCCUUCCAUCCAAUUCCACUCAUCUUCCUCUAGAAAAACAACAUCUCUGCUUACAGUCACCUUCCUUGUCAUAGGGUGAAAAAUUCUAUAAGCCUUUGAUUGGAGACUGUACCCAAUAAAGAUUCCAAGCUCUGCUUUCUUAUCCAGCUUGUCCCUCUUGACCUCAGGAACAUGAGUGUAACACAUACACCCAAAAACCUUCAAAUUUUUCACAAAAAGUUUAACACCAUACCAGACUUCAAAAUGUGUUGACUUCUCUAAGGCCUUUGUGGGCAAUCUGUUCAACAGGAACACUGCAGUAUUAGCUGCUUCAGCCCAGAACUUCUUAGAUAACUUCUUCUCCUGCAUCAUACAUCUAGCCAUCUCCAUAAUGCUUCUAUUUUUCCUCUCACUGACUCCAUUCUGUUGAGGUGAAUAGGGAGUAGUGAACUGCUGCACAAUUCCUGCUUGCUCACAAUUCAACUUAAACUUGUGAGCAGUAUACUCAGAACCAUUAUCAAACCUGAGCAUUUUAAUUUUCUUCCCACUCUGAUUCUCAACUAAGGCUUUAAACUUCACAAACACAUCAGCAACUUCAGACUUGGCUCACAGAAAUAAAUCCAACUCAUCCUAGUCAUAUCAUCAGUGAAGGUAAUGAAAUACCUGCUACCAUUGAGAGAAGACUCAGACAUAGGUCCACAUAGAUCUGUGUGGACUAAUUGCAGCUUCUCACAUGCUCUCCAGCCUCCUCCUUUGAAAGGAAAUCUGGCUUGCUUGCUAAGAAGACAAGUUCUGCAUUGUGGAAAUUCCUCCUCCAAACUUGGCAAGUCAUUUACCAAGCUAUUUCUCUGCAUAAACGACAUGCUCUUCCUGUGAACAUGCCCAAGUCUUUUAUGCCAUAGCUCUGCAUUUUCUUCUUUGCACUUUAAAGCCAUUUGUUGCAUCUCUUGUGGUUUAAACAUGAAACUCUUGUCCCUCAUUAGGAUUCUUAACACUUCUUUGCUAUUUGCAUUAUUAAUAAGACAUUCCUUCCCUUCGAACUUCACUUUAUAGCCAUUCUCAACUAAUUGACCAACACUUAACAGAUUCUGGUCAAUGUUUGACACAAAAAGAACAUCACUGAUCAGCUUCACCUCCUGAUUUCUUUCAAUAGCCACUGUACCCUUCCCUUACACUUCGAUUUACUGUCCGUUGCCAAUUCUAACUCUGGACCUGACUGACCUAUCUAGACUCCUAAACAGCUUCGAAUUGCCAGUCAUAUGAUUGGUACAGCCACUAUCCACCAGCCAUGCAUCAUUCCCAACAGAAGAUUCAGAAAAAGAAGCUACAAACAAGUGCUCUUCCUCAGUUUCAUUCAUUGCUACCUGUGCUUUUCCUGCUUGCUGAUAAUUUUUUUUCUUUGCAGAUGGCUUUCGUGUGACCUAACUUGUGACAUCUUCUGCAUCUAACAUCAGGCUUUCUCCAACAUCUAAAAAAACUGAUGAUUAGUUCCACCACAGUAUUGACAAGGCUUUUUAUUCAUCUUUCAUUUGCUAGACCCACAAGAAUUUCCUUCUUUUGCUACAAACUUGGAGUCACCAGCAUUUUCUCUGGACUGAAUCCAUUUCUUCCCUUUGCCUCCAUCAUUUGACUUCACUUUAGCUUGCAGCGCACCCUCUACAAACUCUUCUCUUCUCAUCAGUCUUUUGUGCUCUUGUGCCUGCAGAGCAUUUAACAAUUCUGCAAGCUUUAUAUUAGCUAAGUCUCUUGUAUUUUCCAGAGAAGCUAUGGUGGCUUCGAACUUCUCUGGAAGAGAUACCAGGAUCUUCUGAACAAGCCUUUCAUUCUUCAAGUCAGUCCCUAAAACUCUGAUUUUUUCAGCUAUCCCAACCAACCUAUCAGAGUACUCCUUCACUGACUCUGAAUCCUUCAUCUGCUGUCUCUCAAACUCCCUCAAGAGAUUCAACACCUUCAUGCCUCUUAUCUUCUCAUCUCCCUCGUAUUCAUCCUUCAAGAAAUCCCAUAUUGCCUUUGCAGAAUCACAUCUCAUGAUCCUUGUGAAGAUAGUGGGUGAAACAGCAGCAUACAGGCAUGACUUUGCCUUGGCCUUCCUUGUGAUUCUCUCUUUAUGGUAUUUUAUCUGAUUCAAGGUUGGAUUGUCUGGAAGUGGAGCAACCUCAUAAUCAUUCUCCACAGUCUCCCAUAAAUCAUGACCCUCCAAGAAUGCCGUCAUCUUGACAGCCCAAGCCUGAUAAUUUUUCCCAGUAAAGACUGGAGCAGCCAUUGUAGAGAAUCCACUCGAUCCUACCUCCAUCGGCUUUUUCUUUGCAGAUUGGAAGCAAUCCUCACUCACUUACCCUCACUUCACAGUCCCUUAAGAUCCCACAAACGCUCUGAUACCAAUGUUAAAGCUCAUAAAAACAACAAUCAAAACAGAAAAAAAUUUGUUGUUUGAGAGAGAAAGAAGAUAAAAAAAAAAAAAAAACAGAGCAUAGCACUUCAUACGUCUUGUGCGAAAGAAAAGAAACUGGCGAGUACAACAACUAAAUACAAAGUAGAAACUGGUCACGUACGUGCAACACAUAAUUGCAUACAAACGUGCUAUUAACUUCCUAGAAAAUAGCAAAAACACUAAAUGCUUAACUAAAUGAACUUGGCUGUUUUUUAAUAAUAAAAAAAAAACAAAGGAAAACAGAGGAAAACAUGACAGAAAACAGCAGCUGAACAAUUCCAACAAUAUUGAGCAUUCUUCAUUUGGUCGAGUGGGACUCAGAUAAUACUGUGCAAUCCCGUGUUGAUGUUUGCGUUCGCAACACUCGUUUGGCAUUUAUUUGCAAGAGUCACCUUGUGAAGAGUUUCUGUCGAGACAAUUCUUCGAGCAAGAGUAUGAGGAAUAUGAGCAAGGGGUUCCAUUUGUGUAGUGAGUUCUGCAUCUUAAGGUCUCAGGAAAGAGUGUAGCAUCCUAGAUUUAGUUCCUAUUUUCUGUUGGAGGCCUCAAUGCAACUAAUUGGAUUGGAUUUAAGAAUGUUAAUGCAUCUAUGUGUCAGAUGAAACUCUGUGAGCCCUCCAUCUACAAAUUGGACUAUUUAUAAGUUGUAAAGCAUAAUUUUAUAAAUUGAGAAAUCAUCUUCGCUCAGCAUGUUUGUUUUGAAAGAUUUUGUGCAGACUUAACUUUCUGCACGAAGGCUUGUCAUUCUUGUCCCUAGUUCUCUCUUUAGUUAUGGCUAUGUUACAUUCACAACAUGCUUUGUAUUGAUUUAUCAAAAUGGCAAGGUGAUGGAAUGGUUGAGUGGUACAUGUUCUAAUUUCCCAAAUAAAAUCUUUUGUUGUUGUUCAGUGAUGUUUGUUAACUCCACAAUAUUCGCGCGGUUGUUAUUUUUUUGUAGGGGUGUCAAAAAACUAAACCGAACCAAAAAGUUCGAUUUUUUAUGUUUGGUUUAUUGAAAACCAAAUUUUUUUUAUCGGUUCGGUUGACCGAACCGAAUCGGCAAACCGAUGAAAUCCUCUCCAUGAACCAUUAACCAAACCUUAUUUCUAAUUCCCUCUAGUCUCCUCUUGUCUUGGUUGGCUCAAAGGUGCAAUAGUAAUAGGGACGGCGAUAGGGACGGGGAUGGCGACUGCGACGGCAACAGGGAUGGUGACCAAUCGAGGGACGAAAUUCAUUUUUUCUGUGACAAAGCUUGUCUCUCCUUCAUCCCUCUUCCUUCUCCACAACCCCGAACCCAAGUUCUCAACUGUCGUCACCACUCGCCCAAUUCAAUCUCCUCUCUUUACGUCCAGUCACGAGCCGCCGCGAUCCCUCGAUAGCUUCUCCCCCAUGGCAGACAAAGCUGGCCCAAAAUCAGCCCCUCUCACGCUAAGAAGAAUUUGUAGUGGUCACAUGCCCAAGCAUGUCGUGUGCAGGUAAGUGUAUAUACCAAGUUCAAAGAUUGUUGGUUUAGAGUGAGAAGUGAGAGAUGGUGUUUUGCCGAUGUUGGGUUUUUAGAGCUAUGUUGAGAAUUUAUGUUAGGUGAUUUUGUAGGAUGGAGGAGGUUGGGUACAUCUUAGUGACUGAUGUUCAGAGGGAAGCAUUGCUUGCCCUUUUCUCUAGGAGGGAUUGCGUACUUCAUGCUCAGGUUGAUCUCUUAUUUAAAUUGAUUUCAAUUUUUUGUUAAGAUCAAAAUGAGAAAAAUCGACAAGAUUAUGGGGCAAAUCAUGCAAAACCCAUAUUGAUUUGUUGCUGAUAAAGUUGAUUUAGAGCUUAAUAUGCUGGUUUUGUGCCACGAACGAUGUUAAAUCCAAACUUGAAAAUAGUAUCCCGAAUCGCACAUCAACCAUUUGACAAAAUGGUACUUUAACUAUCAAUGUUGCUAUUUUAACAUGUUAUUGGUGAUUAUGAAUAGAUUUGGCUUUAUGGGACGUGUCUAGGAAAGUAGUUUUCUAAAAUGGAGAGAGACAUGAGUGCGAAGAAAAACUAUUAUUGUUUUACAUAUAUCGCAUAUAUUUACUAGUUGACCAAUUGUAUCACCUUUUGUGAUUGUGGAUAUAAUUGUAAAUACGUAGUAUUAUGAGAAUAGUCAAAUAUAACCUUUAAGGGAUAUGUAUACUUGGAUUAAUGUAGCAAUAUAUGUCUGGAGCACUGUAAGACAUCAAUUGUUUAUUUUUUUUAGGGUUGUAGCCAUUAUGUCAUCCCUAACAGAUGCCUAAUUUGAGCUCCAAAAUAUAGGUGUACUCACUGGUCGCACAGUUUUCUCAUCAAUAUAAAUUAUUUCUAAAGUCGAUGAAUGUUGAAUAUCUUAUAUUCUUGAUAGAGUGCUAUCAAGCCCAUCAUGUCCGAAUAGAAGAUGUUGCACUUUAUUAGUACGUCCAUGAUGUGAUGCAAUUAAGACACACCAUUUUAUCUUGAUAUAUUAUGAUGGAGAGACACCCUUUGAAAGGGUAUGAGUCAUAUAAAAAACUUCUAAAAAUAAUCGUUGGGACAAUUGGCAGAAACAACGUUUAGAAAGAAAUUGUUCUCUCUUCUUCUCCCAUUUCCAUCAAAGAAAAAAAAAAGGCGUUCAAUUACUCCUUUACAAAGACAAUCGGCAUUUACAUUGUGAAAAUUGAAUAUUUUCCUCAUGACUGCAUUCAAACCACCGUGAAUACAUAUUGUUCAUCGUUCACCUAUAAUUCAACGUUCAUUUCAAGAUAAAUUGUUCAUUAUGCAUCCAAAAAAGGUUAGUCAUCUUCCGCCGACUUUCUUCCAACAUUUACAUAGGGACCAAAUUUGAUAUUGGGCAAUCAAAAUUAUAAUAGGUGUACCGGAAACUAUUCAUGUGAUAGUAUCCCUUUUAGUAAAGUUAUUACUUGGAAGUGGUAGUGUGGGACAAUCCAUUUAGACUCAGUUGCACAGUUUACACACCUUCUGUGUUUCCUCUUCUUAUCGCCGGCUUGUGUUCAUGUGUUUCCUAAUGAUACAUAUGCAACGUAUUUCUAGUCCUUUAUAGAUCAUAAAUAUUUAUAACCAAACAUUUAUCACUUGAGGAGUAACAAUAGUUUUUCAUUUCUAGAAAUAUGGAUUACUGAAAAAGAAUAAAACAUGUUUUAUUUAUUUAUUUAUAUUUCCCUUCAACUUACACUCUAUAAACUUUAUUUGACAUGAAUGGUUGAAGUGAAUUCUCUAAGGAGAAAAUGGAUUAAGGGAUUGUAUGACUUCAACUAUUAAUUAUAACGUGUAGAUAGAUAUAUGCCACUAUUGCCACAUUGUAUAUUUUGGAAAAAAAUUAUCAAAAAAUUCAUAGGCCUAUUAUAUGGAUACCAAGUUUAUCUUAAACCUUUCAAUUUAGACAAUUUAGUCUUAAAUUUUUGACGAUUUGUUAUUGUAGUCCUCUCAGCUAAUUUUGGCAUAUAAUUGCUAACGUAGAUGUUAGUUAUUUUACAUAGCAAGGCCAGUGAAGGCUAACUUGGCAUGGACAAUUUUUUGCAAAUUUUCUUAAUAUUUAUGAAUUUUUAAAUAAAAAUUUUGAAUAUCUUCUUCUUCUUUUCUCUUCUUCUUCCAUCGGUCGCUAAGCUUCGAUGAUGGUUGAUGACUGGCCAUAGGCUUGGGCUGGCGACGGCUAACCUUGCCUAAUUUGAUAGAUAAGGGUGAGCUACGUGCGAGGCUAGCAGGCCAAGCCUCACCAACUGUGUAGUUUCAUUUGAUUUGCCGAGGUCAACCCUUGUUGGCCCUCGCUUGUCCCAAUCACUAGCCAUGGCGACUAGUGGAAGAAAAAAGAAAAGAAAUUCAAAAAAACUUGUCGCGACCUACCCUCGGGGGGAGGGAAUAGGUUUAGGGGUAUUGCCUAAAGGACGGGCCUAAGGCCCAUGAUUAGGCGUAGGCUCUCCCAAGCCCAUACCCGGCGUGACAUUGGGAUAUUUUUUUUUAACUUUGCACAAAUGGAGUCGCCACUAGCCUAUUAGGGUCAGCUAGAAACCAAGUGAGGCAUGGGAGUGUACCUCACUUCCUACGCAACCGGAGAAUCUAGGGCCGGGGACUUAAUUACACUAAUUGACUAAUUAGUGCCAUUUCGGUACAUAAUCUUGUUCAUUUUAACAAAAUGAUUUUCAUUAGGCAAUUUAGAUCGAUUUCAUACCUAUCAACUAACAUAGGAGGUGAGCAUGUAGGUGCACAAUCAAUAAAGUAAUAAUUAUACCUACCAAGAUCCUAUUUGCCCUAAAAUUAAACACGUGCAAAUUAAACAUAAAACAAGCAAAUUAAACAAACAAUAAAAACAACAUGCAAGAAACAAAGGCUUAAUUACACUAAAGCGGCAAUACAAAGCAAUUCCUAACCAAACCCUAUCAUUUUUUGAUUUUCUAAAUUUUUAAUUUAAUUUAAUUUUUUUUAACUUUUAAUUAAAAAAAGGGCGAAAUUUUUAAUGUUUUCUGAGUUUUUUGAAAUUCCGGAAAAAAUUUUGAAUUUUUAUCAUUUUUUCGAAAUUUUUUAUUUUUGAUUUUUAUUUUUUUAAAAAAUUUUAAUAUAUAUUUAAUACUUCAAUAAAAUGGGUUCGGACCGGGUAAACCCGAUCCGGCCCGUGGACCCAACUUAAACCCGGAUCCAACAUUUUUGGGUUAAGAAAACAUUAUUUUAAAAUAUUUCUUUUAUAGCCUUUUUUAAAGAUUCUUUUUUUGUUUUUUGUUUUUUUUUUUUUAAUCUUUUCCUCACUUCAUCCUUUCCCCUGCACGUUCUGCCCGAAUGUCCUUCCCGAGGCCAGCUUUUGCCGUUUUAUUUUUCUAUUUUUUAUUUAUUUUUCUUUUCUUUUUUUUCCUGAUUUUUCUUGGUUUUUCUUUUCCCCUUUUUUUUUUUUUUUUAAUUUCUUUCCCUCCUGCGACUCCUCCUUCCCAAGACCAACCUUUCCUUUCUUUUUAAUAUUUUGUUUUGCUUUUUCACUUUUUCCAUAUUUUUCUUUUACUCUUUCUUUUAUUCUUUUUUUUUUUUUUGCCUUUUGGUCUUCUUCUCCUUCGUGCUUGCCCCCUCCGCUCGAAGCUUCCAUUAAACCCAGAAUUUCCCGUGAACUCAACCCCAACCUAAAAGCGCCAAAACCAUGAUCUUGACGCGUAUUUAUUCCAUACCAAGCCGAGAACAGCAUGCGUCACUAUCCAACAUACUCGAAUUUAUAUAAAAUGCAAAGUGCCAGAUGGGAGUGAGGUGCGACAUACGGCCAUAAGUUCGGAUAUCCGCAAAAUGCAUGUGAAAAUGGACAAAAAGAAGACAAAUAUUACCCUUUGAAGAUGACACAGACACUCCAUCCAGCCUACACGCUUAAAAUGGCUUUCUUAUUGAUGUUAUCUCUCUCUUCAUUACUCUUUGUUUGUUUCUCUUGUUUUCUUUUCUUUAUUUAAUUAUCCCUUAACCAAGCGUGAUUUCCUUUCUCACUGAAGCUCCCUUUUCAACGUUCUCUUCUUUGCCGAGAACAACCCCAUCGUCAAGAUCUCUCUUGAAGAAAUGCCAUUGCUCAACCUCACUAACCACUACCCACGAUCAACGAGUUAAGACUUCACGCAAGACGACCUCAGUAACUAGCGAUCAAAACGACUAUACACGAGCUUCGGAAACGGCAAAAGGUAGUGGCUAUUUUCCCGAAGCGCUUCAAGGGCAUUUUAUCAAACACCAAGGGUGCAUCGACUCAAGGCAGCCACAGACAACAACAAGACUCAAAACUAGACCACAGCUCAACGAGAAUGGCAGGGAAUGCUCAAUAUCAACGAAAGACAGCGUAAGCGAACCCGAAACUCACGUCCCAACUUAGUAAACCAUGCAAAAAAAUAUGAAGGAACAUGACAAAAGCAGGGCACAAAGAGAAGAAUGUCUGCGGAGGUCCCUACCCGGCUCGAGGGUGGCGAAUGGCGGGCGAGAUCGAUAGAUCGAACAAUGUCCGUUUGCCUCGCAUGCCCCCGAGCCGGAAUCCUUGGGAAAUCGACACGAGCUGAACCAAAAACCAGGGAAACUCACCGCGAAAACUUGAAUUCAAGGAAAAGGAAGCUGCGGCUUGGUGGUUCCGGCUUGGAGGCGCAAGCUCGCGUCGGGGGGUGGCUGAGCGAUGUUCGGCUGAGGUGGAUUCCGGGCCUCCUUCUUCGCGGUCACUCUUCGCUUCUACCCCUCUCCUUCCUUCAAGCUCUCUCGCCAAAGGCCCUCUCCAAUCUCUCCCGGCCAAAAAUCCCCCCUUGUGUUGCUGUUGUUGGUCCCUCUCGGCCAAAACCAACGUCGGAGGACAUGGAAAAGGGGGGAAGCGCGAGCUCCAUUGCACUGGUUUGCGCUGAGGACGGCUGGACGACACCCACCCGGGGCUAAAUUUCAACCCUCUCGCUCAAACUCCCUCAGGCUCUCAAAGACCAGCCGAGAACCCCCCUCGCUUUGCGUCUGUCUUCUCCCCCCUUCUCUCUCCGAUUCUCCCUCGUUUUAUACCCGGCCAGCAAGUGCGCAUGGCCUCUGCGGCUGCCAGCUUGCCGACCGAACUGCCCCCUCCGACUCGCGGAUCAUGCUGGUCGCCUGCAAUCCCUAUCCCCUGCUCCCGAUCGCUGCUCCAUUUUUCUGUUCUCUGCAGGUCGUCGCGCGAAGGACAGCAGGAGGGAGACGACCGGUUCGUGCGUGGAUUGGGCUGAAGGGAAAAGGUGGAUGGGCUGAGCUGGUGGGCCGCGCGAGGGAAAAGGAAAAAGAAAGGGAGGAAGAGGCCAGCCUAGGGUUUGUCUAAACCCAGGCCCAGCUACCCCUUUUCUUUUUCUUUUUCUUUUUUUCUUCUUUUUUUUUUUUUUUUAAUUUCGAAAUUUUCUGAUACUAAUUUUUUUUGAUAAAUUUUUUUGAUUGAUUAUAAGACUAGUGACACAAAUUCUCCUAAUGUCUAUGUGUGAUGCAAUUUUAACGAAAUUUUUUUUGUUGAGGGGUUGAAAAUCAAUCCCCAAUUUUUCAAUGCAAUUAAGAAACACUUAAACAAAUCGCCAAAAUUUAGGUGUCAACAAAACUAAAAUAUUCAUAAAAUUCAAAAAAACCAUACACAAUGACACCAAUUGUACUACCUAGGAUAACUGACAUCCAUGUCACUGAUUAUUAGGUAAAAUUAGCUCAGAAGACUAUAUCGACAAAUUAUUUAAAAAUUUAAGAUUAAUUGACAUAAUUGAAAGCUUUAUGAUUAUAUUGUUGCGACCCGAUCUCGCCGCCCUCGAAUGUCAAUGGUGGGAAAAGUUAGGUUUAUGGGGUACUUGAUCACGAGAGUUCCCUCACGAGAUCACGAGCUCUCCCAAGCUCCUACCCCGCGUGACAGCGGGUUUAUUUAUGCGAUCUAAGUAUUUAACAACCUAAGAAUAUACAAGAGUCACCACUAGCCUUUUUUUUUUUUUUUUGGGUUGGCUAGAAAACCCAAUCGAGGGUCGGGAGAAUUCCCUCGAUUCCUAUGCAACCAAAUAUCUAAAUUUGGGACUUGUGUUACGCUAAUAUAGCUAUUAGCGCCCUUUCAGUACCUAAACAAUAUGUUGUGUUUUUCCUAACAUGUCCAUGCGUCUCUUUUUACAUUUUCGGGAUCAUCAAUUUUAUACUAAGUAAUCAUGCGUGGUGGAUUACUUUCAUUCUAUUUUAUUCCUAAAAAAUGAAAGGAAGACAAUCAAUGAAAUUGAAAUUGCAAGACAUGAAGUAAACAAUCAAUAAAAGCAGUAAACCUAAUCAUGCAAUCCUAAAGAAUAUAAAAGAAAAAACAAUUGUGAAAGAAAGGAAACCCACAACUCGUCGGGUUUUAUACAACACGUGGAACCUGAGACAUAUGUCGGGAAAACGAAUGGUACAUGAUAAAUGGUCGGAAUGGACAUCGACCUCUACCAUCUUCACGCUUUAUCCAUGUUCAAGGCCCUAAUCUAAACCUUAUCUAAGAAACAUGGAUAACUAGGUACAUACAAAUGAAAAAAAGCAAUCAUCACAUAUCAAAACAAUCAAAAGCGAUACAUCUUUUGCAUUAAAAAAGAGUGACUAAAGUCACAAAGUCUCUGGAUCAAAUUCUAGGUGACAUCCCAAGAUUCAGCAUUAUUAUGCGUCACACUUAAAUCAUUCAUCUAAUGAUCACAUGCAAAGCAUAUAACAUGACAUGUAUUUAUGAUAUAUGAUAGUGAUUCUUAAUCAAUCCAAACCAGUAAGUGAAUCAACUAAGGAUCACUUAUUCAAACACAUGCACCAUUGAAUACACUCAUGCAACAUAUAUAUUCAAGACAAACGAAGCAGUCGAUAUGUAACCCACAUGAUACCUAAAGCCAUCUUGUAGACAUUUGACAAAGGACGUCAUUUCAUGAAGGAAGCGUCUCAAGAUUCCUAACGCAUGAAUUUCUAAAAAAAUACUAUAACAUGAACUAGUCAGUCUAUAAUAGAACAGGGCAACAUGAAAAAUAGGCAUUCUACAACAUAUUGAAGGCAAUUGGAAACAUUUACUAUCUCAUUUCAAGACUAACAACAACUAGCCACAGAAAAGACAACAUUUCCCUAAUCGAAUCAACUUCGAAAAAAUCUAAAAGAAUUAUAUGUUGUAGCCAAGAAUAUGUCAAGAAAACUUUCUUGAUCCAUUGACCUCCGAAUCCAAGCAAAAAUUCAGAAGAAAAUCAGAAAACAGCAAACGUGUUCAACAACCACAGCAGCUAGUAGAUCUCAAAUCAAAUUUCCAGCAAAGUGCGCAAACUUUCGAGAUGGUUUUGAGCUAGCAAAUGACUUUCGUUUAAGCCUUUUAAUAUAUCAAAUCGAAGUUUAUCGAAUGUAGAUCGAUUGUCCAGAACACAUCAACUCAAGAUUUCGAAGUUUAUGACCUCAAAUUUGCCAUAGCAAAAACUAAGUCCUGAAAACCUACGAAUUUCCAGAGAAUGCAAAUGACCACAGUCAACAUAUUGAUCAUCUAUUAUCCAUUGCGGCAUCUAUAAUCCAUGAUUUUAGCAUGCAAUUAGAAUUGUAACAGAGCACACAAGACUGCAAAUUGUGAUUGUUUGAUGACAAAUUGCCAUGAAAUUGAGGCCAUAUAUUCUCACAAGCACGUAUGAGUUUACUUGAUCAAAAUAGCAUCAAUCCAUAACCAAACUAGCCUCAAGUUGGAAUCAAAUGCACACCCAAUCAUGGGAUAUCAAGACAUGGUCAGCAUCAAUGGAUUGAUUUUUAGUAAACUUUGAUUCAUCUCUGACAUAAUAUCUUUUCCAAGCGAAUACGAAAUUCAUCAUAACACAAUCUUAUGUCACUACACAUGCUUACUUAAGUAGAAUAGCAUCAAAUGAAGGAUCAAUGGACAUUAGUUCAGGGCCGCAACAUCUCAAUAACAAAGAUGUGAAUGAUGGAAAGAAAAGAAGAAACACAAGUAAUAAAAACAACUAAAUGCACAGAGUCCAUAGUUAAUGAUUGUGGUCUUGUCAACCACUGUCAGUGAGCUUCUAUUUCAAGAGGCAAGCUCUCACUCGAUCACCGGCCAUACCUCAUACACAAUGAUGAUACAUCAGAGUAACAUGGACAGGGGAAAAUGAGAUAUAAUAGAGAAAUCUGAGCAUAUAAGCAACGAUUCCAACACUGAACUCCGUUUGUAUAUAAGACUCAAUUAAAACCUGAGAAAUCAAGACGCAAUUUCCAACAUGAGAAUCAUAAAGCCAAUUCAAUAACAAAUGAGCAUCGUAUUCUAACUCAGUCGGCCACAGUAAGAUUUCACAAGUCAAGAAUGAGUUGAGUUGAUGCAUUACGACUUUCAGCUCAAUGAUCUAAUAGAAACACACUCAAAUCUAGUUCCAGCAUUUCAUCAAACAUGUGAUAAAUCGACAAUUCACUUUUAUUACCAUCACAACAACAUUAGAGCAAGUUUAUAUCCUUACUAGAACCUCAAUCGUGGCUGAUUUUCACAGAAACGGUGGCAACAAUUCCCAGUCUCUACUUCGUAUAUAAAACGCACCUGACUAAGGAACCGAUUUUGGAGCUAAGAUAGAACAGAGUAGCUCGAAACAAAAACCUAACCACGAUCCCAAUCUUGUAACUCCAAGCCCGCAAAAUCGUGGUGCCAAAAAACAAACUAAUCCGCUCUAAUAGAUCGCUGCGACCUCAGUCUUUUCAAAGCAGAGAAAUGCCGAGACCUAAAAUCUAAUACCGAGGACAACGCACCGAAACCUCAAGAACUCAAAAAUGUCAUCGCACCAGGAAGCUACGUGACGUCAUGGAAUCAAGAAAAAUUCAGAAAGAGAGCGAGUUUUACCUCCUUCCAGUUGCCUAACAAACCAGCGCCUCCAUUUCGGAGGUCGAUUCUGCAGUGGCGGAAGAGAACUUGCGUCAGCGCACCGGACAAAGAGAAACAAAGAACCGAAGGCGAUCUGCAAUCCCGAAGCGAGGAACCGGGAUAAGGAAAUGAUCGGAAACCGAUGUUGCCGCCGCCGUCGCUGUCACCGCCGCUGAUCGGCUUCGGAUCUGAGCCCCUCACCUCGAGCCCCUUCACCGGCGGUUACUCUGUUUUCUAGGGUUUUUAGAAAAGUGCAGACAAGGAGGUCGAGAUUCCGAGAGCAAGAGUUCGUUCGGCCGUUUAGCCGAGAGAGCGGGAACCCAGGGAGAGAGAGAAAUGAAUCUCAAGAGAGAGAUCCUUCGUCGAAUGGCCCCAUCGCGCCAAAAAAUCAGCGAGCCCCUUUUAUAUUUUUUUUUCUUUAUUUUUUUCUCUUCUUUAUAUAUAUAUAUAUUUUUUUUUAAUGUUUUCUCUCUUUCUUUUCCUUUUUUUUUUUCGUUUUCCUUAUUUCUAAUUUUUUUAUCUCUUCAUUUCAUUUUUUUUUUUAUAAUUUUGCAAAAUAUUUGUUUAAAAUGUCAACGAGAAUUUCGGGUGUCUACAUAUAUUAACGGCUGUAUAAUAAGUUUAGGACUUUCUAAAUAAUUAUCUCAUAUAUUUUGUUAAACUUAUUAUCUUGCCCCUCAACUUAAGGAUUUAUUUCUUUAACUUCUGAAAAAGGAUCCCAACUUUUUAAUGUUUUCAAUAGGAUCUUAAAGUACCUCUUAUGUUGUCUCUAGCCAAAUUCUCGCCGAAAAGUUGGUUACAUGCUCUCGUUUCAAUUGGCGAUGCUCACUUGAGAGGGGCAAAAAUCUUCCUAUAAAUUUAGGAGAUCUACAUUUUGACUCUAGAUUUUCCAUAAAUAAUAUUUCAAAAUUUUUGUAAUGUGCCCCUUGGUAUUUUCAAACUCGCAAUGUUCCCACUAUAACAAUUGUAAGAUGAAAAACUAAUUACAACUAAGGAAAAAUUACACUCGAAACUCAUGUCAACCCUCUAUUAGCAAAAGGAGAAUCAUUCGAAGAAGUUGUUAUUAAACCUUCAAAGAAGCGAUUUUCCUCGCGAAUACGUAUAACUAUCAUGGCAUUGUAAGUAUACAACUGAAGAAACAAUGAGGUCCAGAGUAAGUAACUAAAUCUUAUGACGAGUUAUCACCACGAUAAAAUCCCUUAUUCCUGCAAGAAAUACAAGUUCUCACUUGGGCUAGCAUGAGAUCAUAACAAUUUCCAUCAUACGACAUGCGACAGCACAAAUAAAAGCACUUUAAAAUUUUGGCGCCAGGACCUAAUAGCAUUCGUAUAGCUUGAUAUCCAUCUUCAAAUGAAAAUAAUCUAGUCCUUCGAAAGAAUCCAACUCCACCACGACGAUCCCUCUCGUCAUGAAAAAGUCUCCGGUGCCGCCAACGACCGAGAAAAACCUAACCUUGUCUGCUAUAAUGUCUGCGCCCAUUAUGUUCAAUGUGCCCCGGUGCUCCGUUGAAUUGAACACCAAGCUGAAUCCAACCACGCAUUGUAGAAAGUCUUCAAGUCCCAGAUAUAGAACCCCUGAGCUCAAGCGACCGGGGUCAAACGGAACACACGGCCUCUCGUCACCGGGUCGUUGAGUACAACCAUCUUCCCAAAGAAGAAGUCGCCGAAUCUGUCGAUCUUCUUCGUGACCGCAGCCGACGUCGCAUUGGUCGCAUCGGCCCCGUUGAAGAGCUUGUCGUGCAAGAAGAGGACGAAUCUCUUGCAGGGUCUGUCCUCUUUCAAUAUCGUCUUGGAUUCGAAGGCGUGUUGGAGUGUGAAGAGGACGACGAAAAUGAAGAAGAAAUUGUGCGAAAUGUUUCUCAUGGUUAAGAUGUACGAUGGACUGCGCGUGCGAGCUCUUUAAGACAGCUUCUUGAUGGAAAUUAGUGAGGACUCACUUCAGUUUUUAUAGAGAUUAAGUGCAAUGUCUUUGGAGGCAUUGUUGCACUUCGUCUUGCAAGGUUUUUGUCAUUGUGUAUGCAUACUUUUUAAAGUAAGAUUCAUCUCCGGCCAUUUGCACAUAAAGAAUCUGUGUGCAUCGUACUUUGUACAAUAUAAGAUGUUAAGGUGCAAAAAGAGAAGGAAAAGAUCUACGCAAUAUCUCUAGCUAAUUCUAAUGAAAAUUUAGGUAUCGACAUAAGGUGAUGAUUCUUGAAGCUUUUAUCGUGUGUAUGUGGGGAUUUUGUCUUUAUAAGUCAAGUUCGUACAUGUGAUAUGUUUCGAUUGAACCAUCACAUCCUUUGAAAAACAGUGAUGCUAUAUCCAUACUUUUUAUUAUGGAAUCAUUUUGUUUGCACAAACGGGUAUAUUACUUUGAAAGGACAUGUAUUUCAACGAUAUGUGAGGACUAAUAAAUCUUUGCACUACUGCUCGUUCAAUCGGAAUGAGAUGUAACCUAGACACUUUAAGGGAAAUUAUCCUGCCAUGUGGCUGCUUUAUGAAGAUAGUUACAGAUGAGCAACACUAUCAUUAGCACAUUCGGAGUCGGUCUUCUCAACACAGUAAUCCCGAGUGAUUUCAAGCUAGCAAAUGGUUUAAGCUCCAUGUGGAGAUUGCCCUGAAGGAAGCUACCAUUCUCUUCUUGAUCGUCGCCCCUUUCGCGAUGCUUUAUUGCGAUGUUCUUCCCUUAAACCCUAACCAGGCAUUUUUCUCAAUUACUGCGAUAAAACAAUAGCCCUCCCCAUAGAAAUCCGAGAAUGAUUAGUUUUUACGUCUUCCCUUAAACGAUCAUGUAAGCUAAUUGUUUACGAUUCUAGGAAAACUUAUUUCAUAAAUUGAUUAAUUUUUAAUCAUUCAAACAUCGGAAAUUCGGAAAAUAACUUAUUGGAAACAAUUUUCUUUCAAACAAUUGAACCUAAGGUUUUUAAAGAUUGACCGGAUCUUGUCUCAAUCGCUUUAGAAUAUGUCCCAAGCAUUUGCAUGUGGGCAAACUGUCUUUCCAAGGAGUUGCUCCUUCAAGCUACUUACUGGACAAGGGAAAGCACGUUGUACAGAUUUUUUUAACAAAAACGCUACAUUCUAAGUUAUCAUCCAUACCGACCAAAAAAAAAAGAAAAAGUUAUCAUCCAACUCCUAGAAGUCAACUGUUCUACAGAGCAAGUCUGCUGAAUAAACAAAAGCAUAGCCGUAUAACACCUACAAAUAGCUUGAUUCUCAUGUCAAGAAAGAGAAUAUUGUAAUUCCACUCAUUUUAUUAUUGAAAAUAACAUUUUUAAUUUGCAUGGCUAAAAAAAAUGUUUAAAGGCACUCGUUACUCAAGUGAUUAAAUCAUUGAUAGCAUAACUGUGGAGUAUAUUUGGAAUUUCUAUUAUCUGGUCAAAUCAAAUUAUUAGCCAAAAAAAAAGAGGGAGAAAAUGAAGUAUCAAUUGACUUAUUACUGCUGACGUGAUUAUGAUUUAUGAAGGAUCCUACUCAAAGUACACAUCAAUUUAUCUACUUUCACUUUCAGUUUCUUCAUAACAUAUUUCAUCAAUAGUUAAAGAAAAUGCCACAACCAGGGUGACAUCCACUUGAUAUGAUAAUGCACAAUUAAUUUGCUUAUGAAGUUCACUUCUUCUCUUUUACUUGGCAAUCGCAACCGAAUUAGUAAUUAUCGAGAUAUGAAAUGGGCAAUAAAGCGAAGAACAGCAAUCCGUGAAUAUAUGUUGUUCGACAGGGGAGGAGAUGUUUUCACCGUGCGAAUCAAGAAGAGCAUGGGGAGGGCGCCUUUUGCACAAUUUAUUGAAACAAUAGUAUUUAAUAGAAAAUCAAGUCAACAUGCCAAAUUGGGCCCCCCCCCCCCCCCCCCCCCCCCCCCCCCCCCCGGCCGCCCCGAAAUUCAAGUUGAUUGGUUAUGUAAAGCUCUUUAUUUUUCCAUACUGCCCUCUUCAUAGGAAUGUGCAAAAUAAACUGUCCGAAUCAAAAACUACCUGGACUGAUUUGUUCCGAUUUCUGAUUUCUAAAAGGGAAACCGAUACUUGUUUUUAUUAUUUCUUUAAAAACUUAGUAAAAUAUGAAUUAAACACUAUCUUGGUUUGAUUCCAAGUAGUGAAAAAAAAAAAUGGCAAAAAAUAAGUUACUAGUUCCAUAGGACCUCAUCGAUAUUGGGUACGGUUCUAAAUUUUGGAAAUUGGUUUUCCUAGUCCAGUUCUUAGUUCCACUUUGAACCGGACCAAAUCAAGAAUCGAUUACCUCUUUUCAUGACAUUAGAGUUUCUCUUAAUGUUGAAAAAAAAGCCAUAAGCCUACUAAAAGAAAACUUCACAAAUUUGGCAGGCAAUCAUAGCUCACAGAAUGCAAGGAUUUCGAUACUACAGCUAUCCACCUCAGCAACUAUGAAGGUAAUUGAUCACCAGAAGACAUACAGAAUGAAACCGAUCAGUUCGAACUUUGCUACUAAUUUUUCAUCACCUCUUAUUACACGUCCACAUCGCGUUCAGCACCAGUUUAUGGACAAUCUGACCGAAUCAAUUGGUUUCCGACUCUUCGCCCCGCCCCGAUCCGACAUGCUCCACUGACUCCGAGUCGAGAGAAAUCCCUUCUGCAUAUUGCUGAACCACCAACACCGAGGCCGUGGUGAACUCCGAUGAAGACAGUAAGCUACCGACUGGCCCCAGCUCUGGGGUCUCGCUCUUUGUGUCCAUCGCCGCAGCUAUCUGGCCCUCCGGCCUCCGACCGACCAAAAACAGAUUGCAGCGGCUAAAUUCCUUGAUCACGUCAAUGGCUUCUCCUGGAGUUUUUACUUGUCUCUCUUCAUACUUAAUAGAAUCCGCAUCCGGAUUCUUGAAUUCAGUGAGGAACAACUGAUCCCCUGACAUUGACUUAGUGUGGGAAGAAGCCUCGUCAUUGAUGCCGACUCCGACAAUUUCCCCAGCAAUCUCAGGGUUCACGACGAACGAGACCACCGAUAGACUAAUCCCAGGAUGCUCUGCCAUACGCUUGCCAUAAGCCAGAGCUUCACAAUCAUCUUGGCCCCCAAAGAACAGGACAGUGAUGGUCGAGGAAACAUCGCUUGCGGGCACGUGGGAGCCUCCUCCAAGCCCGCGGUCCACUAAGAUCCCGACCGAGCAUGGAGCGUGCUCGAGAACCUUCUUGUUGACGAACCGAAACUCGGUCCUUGUUGUCUCCAUCACCCCAUCGAGCCUCUGGUGCUUGUGGAAAGGCAGGAUUAUGAUGGCUGCCCUUUUCCUCUCGGCACUGGCGCAGAUAUCCUCAUGUAUGGUGGACAUCGGGGAAAUCGCAGUCAUUGGCCGGAUCAACACAUGGCUGAGCUGCCGGAAAGCCUCGAAAGCCACGACGAUCUGGUUAUCAGGGUCCUGCCCCUUGUUCCAGAAGGGAAGGCCAUUCUUCCGCGCCUUGUGAACCAUGAGAAUCGCAGACGACCUCUCGGAGAGCUCCAUGAGGUGCAUGGCAUAGACGCAGAGCCCUUCCCUCUUCUCUGUGCCGCGCGAGGCCUCGAUGAGGUUGAUGAACGUAGGGAUAUUCUUGAUGCUGUGAAAGCAGGCCAAGAUACGGAGCUGCGACUCGGGAUUUUUCCUCUCAGUCUUUCUGUGCUUGUAAGUGCCUUUGCUUUUCAUCUGCGCAGGCUUGUAUACCGCCACCACUAGGGGCGUCGUGAUGAAGGUCGUGAACACGGCCAUCAGGACCAUGAUGGCGAACGUUUGAUCAUUCAGCACCUGCCAGAUAGAUUUUGCAACAGCAGAACACUCAAGAGAAUAGCUUUAACCAAGUGCAAAAUUCAGAUCAAGAUCGAACGAAACGAAAAGAUUGAUUUUACCUUCCUGUCUUUUCCGAUAUUGAGGACGAUGAGCUCCACCAAUCCUUUAGUGUUCAUCAGGAACCCCAGAGCUAGAGCCUCCUUAAAGGGGACUUUGAACGCAAGGGUCGCAGCCAAUGUGCCCACGAUCUUCCCGAAACAGGCCGUGCAUAUAACCAGAACAAGGAGACCCCAGGACUGAGCGCCCCGGAUCGCCGCUAUGUCCGUCUUCAAACCACUCGAUACGAAGUAGAGCGGAAGGAACAGGCCCGAAAUGAGGUCCUCAACUUUCUCGACGAGGGCUACAGCAAAUGGCCCCUCUUUCGGGACAAGAACUCCGAUGACGAAAGCGCCGAAAAGGGCGUGAAUGCCAAUAGCAUCAGUCGCGAAACCUGCGGCUAAAACACCUGCCAAGGUAGCGCAUACAUACAUCUCGUCGACUGGCUCACCCUCGGGGCAUCGCUUCGCCAUCCACCUGAAAAUAGGCGGGACUAAGAAUAUGCAGCCGACAACGAAAGCGAUGCCGCACAAGAAAACCCAUAGAGAAACAAGAGGAGAACGGCCGGUUCCCGAAAGUGAAAUAGCCAGGGCAAGUAGAACCCAGGCAGCUACAUCGUUGACGGCAGCUGCCGACAUGGCCAUCCGGCCAACGUCGGUGGUCAGAAGCUUGAGUUCAGCCAGGAUACGUGCCAGAACCGGGAACGCCGUGAUGGAAAGCGCGACGCCCAUGAACACAAGAAAGGGCGGUCCAUCCACCGAUUUGGAAAUCGUCCCCCGGAGGACGAAAGACGUGCCAAUUCCCAUUGCAAAGGGGAGGCUAAUCCCAGCAGCCGCAAUGCUCAGGGCUUUCUUGCCUGUCCGUCGGAGCGAGCUCGGGUCGAGCUCGAGGCCCACGAGGAAGAGGAAGAAGAGGAGGCCCAGGUUGGCCAGAGUGUCCAACACCGUGAGGCUUCUCGCCGGGAAGAUCCUCUGCAGAUAGUGGUGAUUCCGACCCAGCGCCGAGGGCCCGAGCAGUAUCCCUCCCUGCCAUAAGCACGACGAGAUGCGAAAGCGACAUUACUCGUUCAGUGCCUUCGAUUGCUUUAAACAAAUGUCACGGACUUUCAUCAACGAAAACACCAUACUUUCACUUUCAAAAUCUCCUGGGAAUUUACCAAAGCAUAGCGCUCAGCAGCGUUCAUAACGAUUUCCAUUUCCAGGGUCAAAAGAAGCUCCAGACACGAUCUAACUAGUCCUCUUUAUCAGUACCAUAAAUUAAAGCCAACACUACCAAUCUUCUUUCUCCAAAUGAAAAUAUCUCUAGCCAAAAUCCUUAGCAGAUUAGCAUGAUUCGAAGCAAACAGAAUCAACUCUCGCACUGUAAUUCCGAAACGAACCAAGCCAAAGUUUUCAUUUUUCCUUUAAUAAGUAGAGCGCCAUUCAUUGAGAAAACCCGAAGAUGGCAACAGGAAAAUAGAGAAAUUGAACAGAGGGAGACUCCACCGUACGGCGGGAGGAAUAACAUACCACGAUCUCAGCAAUGACGCGAGGUUGCCUGAGCGGCCUGAGGAGGAAAGCCAGGAAGCGAGUGACCAAGACGACGAGGCAUAUCUGCAGUAUCGCCAGCGGAAGGGCGAAGUCCAGUGGGUUGUCGCCUUGGAACACCCCGUUCGAGGUGGCCUUCAUCGCCGCCGGACACGAGGUCGCGUUCGUCCCGUUCGUCGUCGCCAUCGCCCCCGGCCCUCCGCCGUCGCCGAUCUCUCUCUCCCUCUCUCUUACCCACUCGAAGUCUCACUGCAGAAAACCGAAAAUCAGCAGGCGAUUUCACGUACAAAUCCCGAUGUAAUCUCGAGAAUUUUUAAAGGGUUUACGAAGAGCUUCAUCGCCAUCGCAUGUUUAAGUGCCAACUAAGCUCAAAAGUAGGAAAGGCGCAACAUUUAAGGUAUCCAGUCUAAUGCUAACUGAAAAGGAGGAAGUAAAUAUGGAAUUUUUCAACGAAUUAUGGAAAAAUUUUAAUAUGACACUAUUGGAACAAGGUGAUACAGAUAAUCACUAAUCACACCUUAACUUUCGAAAUAUGGACCAUUUUUUUUUAUCUCCAAAUUCAAAAUGCCGAACGAAAAUAACAAUAGGGCGAUCGAAGUGCGGACGUGGCGAGGCUCUUGCAUGGCGUAGCCAAACGUGGCAGGUGAGAACCCAUCGAAACCAAAUCAUAAUAAAUGCGGUGGGAUCCGUGAGUUCCGCCAAAAGGAGAAAGAAUUCGAAACCCAUCCUGGCUCCUGCCUAUUUUGAAGUGACAUUAUUACGUGCCGAUUUAUUUCCUUCUUUAAAAAAAAAAAAACUUUAGGAAAGUCAAACGGCUAUUUUUCAGUACCGAAAAAUGAAAAAAGAAAAAUAAGAAGGUAACCAUAGUAGCUCGAGGGCGAAGUCAAUAAAACAUCGCACCAACGAGUUUUCUAUCGCAUCAUGGGAUGUCGAUUUCAAAGACUUCUUCUAAGGAGCGAACGGGCCGCUCGUGGGCCCCAGUUGGCCCCAAUUAAAUGAGAGGUGCGGUGCAGUUGACUUUGAGAUUAGAUGACAGCGUGACGUUCUUCUUUAAUCCUAAGAAAAUUGACUCGAAGAUGACCCCACACAUGCUUCCCGAUAACACACGCUUGCAUAAGCCCGAAGGGGGCGGCGUUCGUUCAUGUUGGCUGGAGUGUCUGAUGAGAUGCAUCAAGAAGAAGAAAAAAAGAAGAAGAGGAAAAUCAUUAGAUAGAUCAAAUCUAUCAAUGAAUUAAAUUUGAUGGAUCUCAUGUGAUAAAAAGUUUAAACUAUGCUAGAUUAAAAUGAUUGGAAUAUAUUUAGUCACACGUGACCUAGGAGACGGAUAUGGCACCACCCCUUUUGUUUUUUGGGGAAAUCUUAUUUUUUGGCAGAUUAUAAGAAUCCGAAAAUAAAUGUGCUUCUAACUACCUGAGCUGCAUACUUAGAGGCUACAGCUGAACCACACCCACGUAGUUUUGCUGGAAUUGAAUGUGCUUUUGCUUGAUUGACGCCUUUGAAUUUUAGACGCCUCGAGAGAGAAAAGGAAAGAAGAACCGCGUGGAAAAAUGGAAAUAGUAAAAUCUCGAACGAUCGGAACCCUCAUCCUCCGCGCUUCGUUACAAGAGAAAAAGAAGGUCUCCUUUAUCCGUUUCGAAACGCCAAAUCGAGUUGUAAGCCAUGUCAACGAGCCACCCACAAGAGAAACCUCAUCUCACUCAACAAGCAAGGGACGUUCUUUCCUCUUCUCUCUCUCUCUCUCUCUCUCUCUCUCUCUCUAUUCUUCUACGUGAGUUUUCCGGGAAAAGAAUGAAAAUCAGCAAGAAAACAUUUCCGGGAAAAGAAUGAAAAACAGCAAGAAAACAGAGAGAGAGAGAGAGACCUGGAUCAGUCGGACGAAGCUUCGCGGUGCCUUUCGCGGGUCGUGUGUUUUCUACUCUGGGCGAAAGGACGCUACCAGUAGAUCACUAUAGGCGCUCCGUUUCAGGUGCUACUGUGUAUAGUAAUGGCGGAAUCUUGGCGGAGUUAUAGCAGUGCGCAGAAAGGGGAGUGGAUAUGAAUGGAGGAGGACGAGGUUGAAGACGCCCCGAACCCGAAUUGCCCCACCCCCGUAUUAAUAGGAUCUUCCUCGUCGCACCCAGAAAUACCGAUUCUGCCCCCUUCCUUCUUCUUCUUUUUUUUUUUUUAAUUUCUUUUGGGUAAUGAUCCUUUUUUUUUUUUUUUCCCGAAUUUCGUUAUUUGAAUUUCUUGAAGGAGCCCCGCGAUUUACUCCACUGCCUAGCGUGCUUAUGCACAAGCGCAAGCAACUGCAAACGUAGGAUUUGGAUUUGGAUUUGGACAGACACGUUAGGCACUUUAGCUAAGUAAGGAGCGAAGUAUAUUUUUAUUCAACCUUGAAGUGUGUUUAUCAUUUAUUCAAACCGAAAUUAUCUAGAGAAAUUAAAACAUAAUUUAGAUGAAUACACACACAUAUAUAUAUCUAUCUCAAGAUAGAAAUAACAAUUAUCAGGCAAAUAAAGAGAUAGAGAGAGGAAAUUAUAAUCUUCCAAUCUAGAAUAGAGAAGGCUAUUUGUGUAAAAUUCCUUUUAUAUGAGUGCGUAGGAACUAUUUGUGCAUGAGGCACCAAUUGUAGGCGAGCAAUUGCUUCCUUGGGAGUAACCAAUCAUAAUAAUAAUACUUGCGUGUCGAAGAAAGUCAACUAAAAAAUUUAUGACAACAUAGAAGUUUGUCAAAGGAGUAACUUGAGACAUUUCACACUCAGCAAAAAGAUAAAAAUAAAAGGUUUUCUUUUAUUGUUUCUAUGCAGAGUCCUCAAAAGCAAUUUCUAAAAAAUGCGGAGCUAUAUUGGGUCAAAGGGACUUCCCUAAAAAAUUGUGAAACUACGGGAGAAAAGGUUAUGUAUUCAAUAAAUUACUCAUAUUUACACCACUCUAAUCUUAUGUGGUGAGCCCUUGACCAAUUUCCAAGCGAUUAGAAUUUUAGAAUAAUUUCUUCACGUCUCGACGGUUGUUUCAUGAUAAAUUGAUUUGCUUAUCGCAAAUUAUGAAAUCUAAAAUUAUAUAUGAACAUGCAUGUUCAUAUUGAGACAUCUUGAAAAUUUCUAUGCGUUCCCACCAUCAUUUGUUAAAAUGAAAAUUGAAAGCUCAAAAAGUAGGAAUUAUUCUAUGCAAACUUUUAGUUUCUAAUGGAUGGACGGUGGAUUUCAAUGUUUAAAAUAAAAACUUAAUGAGUGAUGCUAAUGUUUCAUGUUCGUGGACUUUGAUAGGAUCAUCUUUAUGGGACCAAUCCAUUUUAGGACCAAUAUAAUUCACUCGAUGUGCGUCAUCAAGCGAUGAUGAUCUAAAUAUAUAUAUAUAUAUAAUUUAUUAUUUAUUAUAUAUAAUAAUGGAGAUGUCAUUUGAAAUUUCAGAUCUUGAUGUAUGCACUGGGAUAACUAAUCAUAUUCCUUCUGUGAAAGUUUUAGCUGGCUCAAAAGUCUUGGCCUAUGCCUUAUUCUUGAUUAAGAGGACCUUUUGUUAAAUGGUGCCUUGAGUACUUAACGUGGACUCCCAUUCAUAGAAUAGUCCUUUAUCAAACAUUUAAUAUGAGUAAAUCAUCAUAAGAUUCUUACGCACUGUCAAGAAUUUAAAAUGUGGAAUCUAACUUUUAUAAUUCUGAAGUAUGUUAAUUGCGAUAAAAUAAGUCCUAUGGUACUUUCUUUGUUGUAGAGCCAACUUUAU
rnacentral:lncRNA from 1 species